rnacentral:lncRNA from 1 species
UCUUGGACACAUCCACGCCGCCGGGAACCUCGUCCUCGUCGAACACGAUGUUGUGCGGGAAUCCGGCGUUGUUCUUGAAAGUGAUGGUCUCCCCAGCGGCGAUGGAGAACUUGCUGGGAACGAAUGCCAAUGAGCCGUCGUCGCCUCCGAGCAGGACUUCAACUGCCAUGGCGUUGCUUGCGAGGAUCGCAGUUGCGGCGGUGGCGACCAUGGCGACACCGACGUCCUUCAUCGAGGCCCUGACGCAGAAUUUCGGGGAGGCGGAAACCGCUUCGGCGAGGCGGAAACCUUGACGGAUGAUUUCGUGGAGGCCUUGAGGGCGGUGAAAGAUGAGAUGGACACUGCUGCUGAGGUGAGUGUCGCCAUUUUUGGGGUUUGUUUUGAGUGGAAACUGGUUUCGUGUGUGUUCCUCAAGUUUGGUCGCAAAAUGGAAAUGGGAUGAGAAGGUAGGAAUAUAAGAGGAGAUGAGAUAUGGUGAGAGAGGAUUUUGAUCUUUCUUUUCUGGAGGGUUUUGUGUGGUUUAGAUUUGGGGAUGUGGAAUGUGUGGAUGAUCAUGGAAUGGAUGUGAAGCUGUGAGCUUUAUCUUGUAAGAUGUGUUGUGAUUGGCUGUUUGUAGAUCUUGUUUCCUGACGUGGCAUGGGGAUCUGGCCAUGUCUUCAUUUCAAAUACUUAUACUCGAAACUCGGCCAAUAUAACGAAAAAAAUACUAUAUUAUCAGUCAUAUAUGCUGGAUUCGAAUCUAAAAACCUCCUAAAUUACCAACAAACGAUGUACCAACUAUGCUAUCCUAGGGAGACAUUAAACGUGAGUUUUGUAGCUGAUCAUUGGUGCUUUAGUCUACAGUAUUCGGCAUAGUUUUACAGAAAGCCACAAAUCCAUUUGAGUUGGUAAUCGUAUCUAUGGGCUUCCUAAAUUCAGCUCACCUUGUACGGGCCUCUCCCUAAACUAACAAUAGACGAAAUCCGCCCAAAAUGGUCUUCUUAUAUUUGGGCUUUCAUCAGAUAUGUCCAACUCUUUUAUAAUUGUUAGUUUGGGGAGCCGCCGAAGCUCGAUGUGUCUAGACUUGGCAAUGGGGAGGUUGAAGAUGGUUAUGAUAUAUCAAUUAUCUAUCUACUUUUAUAAUGGUUAUUAAUUAUAAUUAUUCUCAUUUUUAUUUCGGUGAUAGAUUUAGUUCUAUCACUAUAUCUAUCCGGUUACGGUUAUAAUCGCACAACGAUUAUUCACUGUUAUGCAAAAAAAAAGUACAAAAUGAAACAGAAAAUGCAUACACGUUCAUCCAUAUAAAAAUUUUCAAAUCCAAUUCGAAACUAGAAAUGGCAUCUGAUAAAAUUAACUACGACAUUCAUGGUUAAUUUAUGAGUUUCACUAUUUGAAAUAUUAGUGAACAUUAUGUUUCAACGCUACUGCUAAUUAUGUGGGUGUUAUUGGGUUGGACGAUGAAUAUUAUUGGGGUUCACCUAUUCACUAAUGCGGAUAAAUAGAGGUUAAGUCGUGGGUCGAUGAUGGCAAUGGGUUUGGUUAUGGUGAUGGUGCGGUUAUUAUGAAACUCAUAACCUAACCUUACCCAUUCUUAGCGGUUAACGAUUAUAAUCGUAACCUCAAAAUACCAAAUCAACGCGAUUAAAAAACGUCAAUUUUGGUCAGAUUACGAUCGAUUGAACGGUUAAGCGUUCAAAAUUGCGAAAUCUCAAUCCAACCAUAUCUCAAGCGAAUUUUAAAAUAAUAUAAAAUUAUUAAAAAUAUUAAAACCGCCACAUCAGCCUUUCUUCGAUCCACAAAAAUCCAUGUCAGCCGCAUAAAACAACACGAUUUUAGGUUUUUAUUUUUAUGGGCCUGCUCCAUCUUCCUGUGUUUAUCCUUCUUUCCACCAACGACAACAGCCACAAACUCCUUCCGCCCAAUCUGAUUGGUAUAAAACGCCAUUCAACUUCCACUUUACUGCCUACUGAUUCUAGCGGAGUAAUUAAGAACUUGCAAUUUCGAAUCAGUUGUUGUAGGAAAAGGUAUCUUUCCUCUUCUGCCAUUGAUGGGGCCGCUCCAUCCAACUUGCCUGCCGAUCUGGGAAGAAUCUAAGUCGGCGACCGGCUAGGGUUAACUGCUUCACACCACUGGAUCUCGAAUAUGGAAUUGUCAAACCCGACUCUCCUACGGAGAGAUGAAAUUGGAAUCGGAAGAGACAAAUUGGUAGUGGAAGUUGGAGUUGGGAAAGCCAUGGCCAACAACGAACAGAGGAAGAGCAAUAUGUCUCACGAUUUUAAUUGGCAUAAAGGUUCGACAAUACGUCCAGGUCCAGAUUAUUGAUUAUGCACUUUUCCUUGGAAACACCGCAAUGGCAAGUCGGCAAUGGUUGUCCUCUUUAGUUUAUUCUCUUUCAGAAGUUCAGGGACUGGGUUUGUGUUCUUGAGCGAGGAGUUUGAAGUUUUUUGGAUUCGUUGAACUUGACAAUUCACAUUUGAGUUGGUUUGAGUUGCUCCCUCUAUGAGUGGAUACCAAGGAUUUGGUUUUCAGUAAACAGGAUGGCUUUUGGUCAUUGUUGGUGUAGGUGGCUGUAGAAUUCGAUAACUCUGAUGGUACUGGGUGCUUGAUUGAGCUGGGUAAACUUACAAACUCUCACUUUCGAAAUUGUGGUCAGCCUAGAGGUUUUGAAUUGUUCAUGAUAGUCAAAAUACCGUCUCUUAACUCCGAAAAUGAGACCUUUUUCGCCUCUGUUAGCAAGUGAAUGAAUGUUAAUUUUCAUAGGAUUCACUGAUUCAUGUUUGUUUGCAGCUUAUACAAGAUGAGCCCUUUGCUUAUUCAUCCGGCUGAGGAAGAUUGGAAAGUAGGUUUUCAACAUGCAAUUUAAGCCACAAUUGAAACUUAAUUAGGUACACAUCCUCUUUCCCGAUGAACAAAUUCUGAAUUAUAUUAUUAUGUACCUAGCUUUGUAGUCAAAUUGAUAUACCGCUGGCCAUGAGAACAAGUGUCGAUUAGAGAUAUUGCUACCCUUCUUGAUAAGGUUAGUCUAUAUCAGUUCAUUACAUGCUUAAUUUCGUAGUUCUGGUUCGGGGAAAGAUGAUACUUCGUGUUAAUUGGUGGUCAGGUACUAAUCAAGUGGCACCUAGCUUAGUUUAUAUCUAUCUGAGCCAACUGAAGUCCAUCUGGCAUCGCCAAAGUAGUUAUAUAUGGCUGACUGAUACAUUCAUUAAAUAUAUAUAUCAUAACUGAAACAUGCAUAAAUUUUCAGUUGGGGUAAGUAAGUUACAACUGAGUGCAAGUGAUGAGGUACAAGUGGCAAGUUUUGUAUGUUGAUAUUUCAAAUGUUGGUUUCUGGAAACACCUAGCUUUACAUAUGGUUUAACAACAAGCCAAGCAUGACCAGGAUGCCUUAUAAUGUGCUAAUAGAUUUUUUUAAGCAUUCUGUAUUGGGAUCCAUGGCGUGUUAUGUUGUUUGUAGGGGUCUGGAUACGAUGGGGAUUAGGAGCAAUGCCAAAGGUAAUGGUUUUGAGUGCUCGAUAACACUACCAACAGCAGAGUUAUGGGGUGGUGAAUAGGGAAUGAAGUUAGUGGUAACUUCAAGACCAUUUCAGUAUGGUUCUAGCCGGGAUUGUUUAGAAUUAUGAAGAAGAUACAAGAGGUUGUGAGGCGUUAAGAUGAUCAUGUCAAAUUGACAAUGCUUAGUCUUCUCACAUGAUGUACAAUCACAAUGAGUCAGUGAUGAUGAUGAAGAGGGCUAUGAUAUGUGGAAUAUGUUUGUUUCCUCUUUAGUUUUAGGCGAUUUGUGUAGGUUAUUGUCGACAAACCCUUUUGCUAUAUAUGUAUUGUGGUUACAGUUUUGGAUUUAUGUAGGUGUGAAUGGCAAAUCUAAGAACAUAAGUGGCUUACAUCAGGUGGGUUCAUCUCUCUUGAACCAUUAGCUCUUCAAUCUUCGAUCUUGACAUCCACUUCGAUUUUAAAAGCAAAAAAAUAAUCACCCUUUCUAUGUACUAACAAAUCAUACAGCCUACUGAAAUGAUAAAACACAAAGUUUAACAAAUUACAGAAACCCAACAAAAGAAGUGAAGAUGCAUAAAUGAAAAUUAUAACAAAACUAAAAAAUUAUUUCUACUCCAAUUUUGUGGUUGCCCUAGUCCGAAUUUAUAAUUACAUACACCGCUUGUAGGUAAAAUACAUACAUUUUAAUUUGACGCUAUAUUCCAAUUUAAUAGGUAAAUUAUAUGUAUUUGUAUUAUGGGAAUAGUUCGGUUGGGAGAGCCGCCAAAACUUGAUGUGUCAAUUGGACCAUAUAUCAAACGAAUUGAUUUAAUAUUGUUGUUCUUUAUGCGCGCCACGAAUUGGCGAAAAAUUGAUAUUUAAUUUGAAUUUGGUUUAAUUAAUACAGUCCAAAAGGACCACAUCGAAUCUGAAACACUGCAUUAACUAGUGAGCGGUACUCCUGCUCUCUCUACCUUAUUCCAUUUCCAAGCACAGAGGAAAGGUUAAAAAACUACAUAUUUCAACCGUCAGGCUGGCCCAAACCAAAACAACAACUCAAAGUCCAAAUUCAAUUGGGAUUAACAGUAGUAGUAGUGUAGGCAAGAUGAGUCAAAAUUCGAUCAGCAUUGAACCCAUUAAAGUUUGACCCGGCAGCCGCCGUAUAGGCCCCCAUGCCCGGAAACACUAGCCAGUCAUUGACCUUAAGCUCCGGCAGCAGCCGCCCAGUGAACACCGUGUCAAGGGCGUCGCACGUGGGACCAAACACCGUCGAGCUGUACUUGGCCGCCGCCACUUCGCACGUAGGGUCCCCAGGGUUUGAAACUAACGCCAAAGGCGCGCACCUAACGGUCGCGUGGUCGUAAAGAAUGCAAUUCAUCGACCCGUAAAGGCCGUCGUUUAUCCAAUACUCCCGUUGCCCUCCCCUCACGCGCUUCCCGAUGAUCGUGGCCGCUAAAGUGAAAGCAGAUUCCGAAAAGAACCGACCGGGCUCGCUUAUCACCUUCAGACCCGGCUCCCCUAAGAAAUACUCAUCCAGCGCGGCUCGGAUUUCCGUAGCUGCAUCUUCGAAUUGCGAGCCGGAGGUGAAACCUCCCCCAAUGUCCAGCAUGUGCAUUCGCGGCAUCCCGAGCCGAAAAGCCGUAUCGCUAAAAGAUCCGUCCGACUGCAUNNNNNNNNNNNNNNNNNNNNNNNNNNNNNNNNNNNNNNNNNNNNNNNNNNNNNNNNNNNNNNNNNNNNNNNNNCCGCGACCGAUGUGGAACGAAGCGCCGCCGACUGGAAGCCUGAGAGACUGAGCCGUUAUGAGCAGAGGCUCGAUUUCGUCGUCGAGCGCUCCGUACUUGGGCCCCAGGGGACACCUCGCCCCACCGUCUUCGGGCGGCUUGAUACGGAUUAGCAAGGAGCACUUCGGGUGGAGACGGCUCAGCUUCCCGAAAUCGUCGACCGAAUCGAAGGUCGUGAGAUUAACCCCGACGGCGGCGGCGUACUGGAUGUGGGAUUCGGGCUUGCAAGGGUUGGCAAAUACGAUUUUGUUGGGAGAGACACCGACGGACACCACGGAUUCGAUCUCGGCUCGGCGGGCGCAGUCGAAGCUGGCGCCGAGGUGGGCGAGGGUGCCGAGGAGAGCCUUUUCCGGAUUGCACUUGACGGCGUAGAAAGGUUGGACGAUGGGGAGCGAUUUUGACCAGACCUCCAUUAGCGAAGCGGCGAUUCCUAGAUCGAGGACGUAGAAGGGCUCUCCGGCGGUGUCGGAAUCUUUGAUAAUGGAGCGGAGGAAAUCGGUAAGUCCUGCGCCAUCGGGUAGGGAAGUGACGGUUCUGCCCUUGACUCCAGGGGCAGUUGUAAUGCCCUGUAGGCCUGAAGUUAAAAUCGCAACCAUAGAGGAAGCGGAAGGGUGGGUGGAGGGAAAUAGGUUUAGGCGGAGGUUAAGGGAAGUGGAUGGGAGGAUUUUUAAUGGUGGGAGGGGGGGAAGCUGCAAGUUGUGCAAGAGAAGAGUAGUAAGAAAACGAGUAUGUAAAGAUUUAAGGUAUAUGAGAUUGAUUGAUAGACACAGAAGUAUCAAAGGUGUGGCCAAAGGCGUAUCGUGAGCCGUAAGUGUGUAAGCUCUUAAGAUUCGGAUCCGGCGCCAACAUGAUAGGUGACCUUCUUUGAAGUAGAUGUUGGGCAUUGGUAAUGAAUGGCUUGGAUCAGUGUAGGUCGCGUUAGUUAAGACAUAGAUGCUUCUCCUUCUAACUAGGGCUAAAGCAUAAUCGCAUUAGUGUUCUCAACUAAAUAAACUCUUGGAGAACGUACAGUUAGGCAUGUUUUGAUACGGGCCGCCAAGCCGGAAGACAUCAAAUCCAAUGGUAUCUUUAGAUUUUUUGGAAAAUUUGUUGGGCCGUUGAAGAUUUGUAGUGGUGAACAAAAGGGAAAGGGAAACAAGGGACGCCACUUAAUUAGCUGGUAAAGUUAAAUUGGGUGCAUGUGGGAAGUUGGUCAUAUCAAUUCAAUGGUCAAAACUUAUCACUCUUCCUCUCCAUUUUCUUUAUCUCUCGUGGAAGAAUUGAUUCCCUCGACAAAACUACCAAUUAUUUGACUCAUACUUGUAUUUUGGAUUCCUCCCAUUCAGAUUAUAUAAUACGUUAGUGUUUGAAAAAGUUGUAGUCGAUCGAGGUGCAUACCUAACGGCCGACAACACUGAAAUUUACCUCAGGGUGGCAACACUAAAUAUGGUGCCGGUCGAAACAUGGUGUAAAUUUUGCAGAGAGAAAUGGAUGCGAGGGAGGAGGGGAAUCUUUGUAUGAGUGCCCAAGUCAUAAAAGCAGCUAGCUGAGCUAGCAAAAUGUGAUCAAUUGGAAUCGAGAAGCAUAUAUAGCCAUUGCCCCCUUUAAUUUGGCCUGCCUUUGUGUUGUUGAAAAAACAGAGAAGCUUGCCAGCAAUUAAUGGCGCUAACAAACUGCAGCAAACUUAACUCCGCUUCAUCUCUGCAUCCCCCCCUUUUUUAUUUAAGGCUUCACGUAACCCAACUAACUCAUCUUUGAUAUUUACUGCUCAUCCAUCCACUUCUUUUGUCGCUACUGCCUAUUUAUUCAAGUGUUGUAGCGUACGUUUAACGGCCUAUGCGUAAGACAAAUGAACACAACGCGUGCUAAUUGAAAACAAAUGAAAUAAUAUUUAAUUAGCUAGCUAGAAUCACAGUCUCCGGCGAUUAUGCAGGAUUCACAAUUAACAUGCCACCUUUGGCCACCUAGCCUAGCUGUGCUACCAAAUUAAGCAUAAACCAUAAAUUAAUUACCUGCCGACAACCUAAUUAAUUAUGAUAAUUAUGGAUUCGUUUGUUUAAUUUGUUGGUUGGUAGCUAGCACUAACAUCUCUCUAACAAAUCCCUUACCAUAUGUGCUAAGGUAUGUAGAGUAAGAUUCAAAUUAAUUAGAGGCAAAUUUACAUACAGAUUAGAAACUGAGAGAUUAGCACGUGAGUGCUAAGCCAAGCCGGAAUCUGGCUAGUGGCCACCGGGAAUAAUAAUAUGCAGUAUUAAUGUGUAACUAAUCAACCUAUCGUAUCGGCACUGUGGGGGUAUGCAUGAAAUAACAGAAAAGACAAUUGCUUUGCAUUUGUAGUUUAGAUGAAUUAUGAGUGAGCUGAAUUUCCCUGAGAAGAGAGAGCAGCCCGAAUCUGCAUAAAAUGUAAUUAAAAAUGAAACCAAUGGAGAUAUAAGUUAGUAACAAGAGUAUAUACGUACUCACUCGAUCUGGUGGUGAGUGUUUGGCAUGGAAGAGAGGAAUAGAUGAGGAUGAAGAUGGUGAAAGGAGCAUUGAGAUAUUGGCACGGCUCAAUCAAAAUGAGCUAGGCUGAAUAAUUAAGAAAAUUAAACGGCAUCUUCCAUCUGAGUGAACCGGGCCAAUAACUCAGUGAUCACCUUUCAAACAAGUUUAGACGACUUUAGAGCAUAUGAAAAUUGAAGGAGUGAGAUCACAUAUAUAGGAGCACAUAUGGAAGAGAGAGAGAGAGAGAGGGAGGAAGCAAAUUAUAAAGGAGAAAGCAAUGAGUGAGUAUGAGGGCAAUGGGGCUUUUUUAUUUGGGGAGAUAAUACAUUGUUAUGGGACUAUGGGAGGAGCAUAGCAUGCAGUUGGUUUGUGCAGGUAGCUAGGUUGAAAAUUAAUGUGUCGAAACUCGAAAGGAGCUAGCUAGCAGAGAGCAUUGAAUGAAUAAGAGAGAGGCAGAGAGCCAUCCAUAUAUCUCUCUCCCUCGCAUUGCAUUGCAUAUGAUAAGAUAAUAUUCCCUAUGCUUUAAAGUUUCUGGGUGUGACAAAGACGAGAGAUGAUCGAUGAUAUUAAAUACUGGGAGAGGGAAGGGACAUGAUGAUGAUAUAUGAAUCUGUAUCAUGUAGUGUUUGCUUUUUUACUCUCCCAACAAGAAAAAAAAAGAGACAGAGACAGAGAGUCAGAGCGAGAGAGAGAGAGAGAUGGUGAAUUAGUGUACGUACGAGCCUGCUUAGCUACCUAUGGAGGAAACCGCAUGCAGAUGCAGGAGGAGGAGCAUGGUGGUUAUUAAUGAAGAGGGCCCGGACAGACAGACAGGACACCGUUGGGGGUUUUGCUUUGUUUGUAUGUUUGGUUUGGUUGAAGGGUUGAAGGAGGAGAGUCUUAUUAGAGAUUCGCUUCGCAGUUCACAACUAGCUUAGCUACCUACCUCUCAUCUCUCUCGCCAUAUCUAUAUAUGCCCAUUAUUAUUAACUCAGACUCGGACACACAGCAAAGAGAUAUACAAAAUACACUAUACAUAUAUUUCUUGUCUUGUUAUAAUGACCCCGCUGCGCUGGCUGGCUGCUUGCUGAAUCUCUGCACUAAUGGCCUUGCCUCUGAGCUGCAUCUCUGAUAGAUGUUGGUUGCCCGGCCGCAAUUAAUACUACUCGUUCGGGGGGAGGGAAUCUCUCAUCCCCGCCUAGCCCACUUCUGUAUCCCGCCCUCUCUCUCUCUCUAUCUCUUCUGUGUGUAGUGUGGGUAUCAAUAAUAUAACAGUCGUCCUCAUUUAUGAUGUUGGAAUCUUCAAGCAUCGUCCAGCUUCACCUGAUAAUAUCAAUAUCGCCCGGCCUCCUUUGCUUGUUUACCUUUCCCCAUUUCACCUCUAGGGUUGUUAUGCCUUUGUGUCCGUUGUUCCCGUAUUGUCAAUUACAUCCCGCUAGCUACUUAGCUAGCUGGUGUUGUCCAUUCCCACAUGUGUCCAGUUGAUCAUAUGGUUUCCAGAAAUUAUCCCGCGAUAGUUCUACAGAACAAAACUAAUUAAUUUAAUUGUUACAUGUCAAAUAAACAAUACAACUGUUGGGGUUGGUGUAUAAAUGAGAAUGAAAAUAUGUAAGAAACCAGAUCGGUUUUAGUUUUAACCGCAUGGUCCAUAACUGGUCGAUUCGUUUUUAACCGAAUCAGUCAUGAACCGAUGUGUGGAGUUAACCGCCUAACUCGUCAUGCCUUUUCGUUUCCUAUUUAAGACAUCUCCCAUUGCAAUCUACACGUGAAGACUGAGGAUGAUGGGGGGAAAAUGGUUUGUUUUUUUACACAGACAAAACCUUAACAAGUGUUUUUAUUUGAAAUCGUAGAGUCAUUAUCCGCUUGCAUUAUAUUCAAGCAAAGUGGAGUCGAGUUAAGUCGUGUGAUUACACAGUGUUCAUUGCAUUCGUCCAAUAUUGACGUUUGAAGUAUUACUACAUUAUUAAGGUAAAUCCAUUUUAUUUUGAGAUGAAUUAUUCCUUAAUUUUGAGUACCAAAAGGGGAAUAAAAUUUUUUUGAGGAGAAAUCGUGUAUUCAAUAUAUAUAUUUAUAUGGUGGAGACUUUGAUACAUUAGUGUUCGGUACAUUCAACACUAAAACCCUAAAUCCUAAACCCUAAAUUCUACACACCUCACAUACAAUCGUAAAUCCUAAAGGAUAAUGUUAAACUCCUAAAUGCUAAAUUCUAACAUAACUCUCAAACAUUUAAUUAUAAAACCAAAUUUUUAAUCGUACUCCAAACCCUAACUUUUCAUCAUAAAUUUAAAUUAACCAAUCAUAAAGCUCUUAAUUAGGCUAUUUAACUCCAAACUCUAACUUUAUUGUUCACUUGUUAAGAUUUGUGAUUGGGCUCUUUAACUCAUUAAGACUUAUGAAUGGGCUUCGGCCAAAACAUGUUUGGUUUGUUAUCUGCCUUACAGGUCAGCAGGCCCAUACGAUUUGGAAACUCGGCCCAAGCCAACAAUCAGGUGACGUGUUGCUGCUGCUAUCAUCUCCACUAAUCUUCAACCAUAGAGAUGAUAAGGAGCUAUACUCGAGAAGGCUGCCGACAAAGCGAAAAGUUAGGUGUCCGUCUGAUGGUGUUGUUUCACAGAUUGGGCUUCAGUUUCGGGCUUCAGUUUCGGACUUCAGAUUUUUUGGCCCAACAAGAAAUAUUUUCUAUUGAGCCUAGAACAAAAGGAUGUAGUGACGAGGAAAAUCGGUGGAAGCCGGGAACCAGCAUGCACGUUACAUGGUACUGCCUGCACAGUGGUACUUGGAAGCCCCGAAAGCAAAGAUUCCACGGACUGAACUACUACUUAAUUUACUCGUUGCUUCCCACUUUACCCAAAGUAAAAGGACUUGUUAUGUGGUGGGUUUUGAAUUACACACAGUACUACUGAACGACUGAUCAUUAGUCAUUUCCCAUUAAGGGUACAGAUUCAGGAUCCACUGAAUCCAAGUAUUACUUUUUUCCAGAUUCCUUAAGAGUAACGAUGUGAAUGCCAGUACAGUACGUGCUAUUAAUUUGUUAAACGGUGCAGUUGAAAUAUAUCAGUGGAAGCCACCAAAAACAGAACACACAAAAGAAAUAUGGGAAGAAUCGUCAGUAAAUAUAAGUCGUGGUUUCAAUCAAAGUGUCGGGUGUGCCUCCCUUAGCCCAUUGAUCUUCUUUUUUUUAAUCAUUUUGGCUCCCUAUCCAUUCUUAAAAGUGCAAAAUUCCAUAUAAUUAUAUUUCAUAAUACCGACCAAGUCUGAUUUAAUGGAGGGUGACGAUUGCUAUUCAAACUUUUCUUAAAUGUCCACUUUAUAUAUAUUGAAAAGUAGUCAAUUUUGAAUCCACCAUAUAGGCCCCAUCUUUAAGAAAUGGAUGAUUCAUUAGGAUAUAGCGACCAGAUUCCUCGAUGUCAGCUGGCCACAAAAUAUUAUAAUUACUCAUAUCAAUACUAAAAUUUAUAGAUAGUAAUAAUACAAGUUCAGGAAAAAAAUUAAAACCCCACUAUUCCUUCACAAAUAAGAUUUGAUGUCAUGCUAGGAGUGGACUAUAUACCCGACGUGGAUCCAGUUUCGUAUUUUAAACCAUAUUGGAGAUUGGAGAUUAAGAUUUGUGAUUAUACAAGCAAAUUAUGAAAUAUAACCAAGAAUGUAAAAUAAAACUAUUAAUAUUCAAAUAAACUGAAGUUUAAUUUAUACAAUUUGCCCAAACUUGGUCCUACUCAACUGUAUGGGUUAGACUAUGUUUGAACUAACGUCUUAAGCGUUAUGAUGGAUAACUUACACCUUAUAUAAGCCUCAUCUUUUUUUAGUGAUCAGAGACAUGAAAAAUCAUUCACAUUUUGAGCUUUGUGUUCUUGAGAAAAAGGUAGGAGUCAUGUUCGUUUGUGGCGUUAUGGUGUUGAUAGAUCAGUUCAGAUUGUCCUUUAUUCCAGCGUAAUACCAUUAACACUAACAAUAUACGCUUCCCAACCAUACGCCGCGGGUAAUUGAAUGCAAACACACUUUGAAAAUCUCGCACCAUAUGCGUCCAACUUCCGCGAUUUAUCUUCCCGCAUGCCAACCUGGCUCUGAUACUAGUUAUAGGAUUCCCAACUCAUCAAUCAUUCCGACUAGUAUGAUAUUGUCCGCUUUGGGUCAAACCUGCGCAAAAUUGUUUUAUGGUUCCUUCCUAAAAGGAAUCAUACUAGUUUGGUUGGUGGAUACUUUUAAACCAGACAAAUCGUCACUAUUUAUUGGUGUGGUACUUCUUCACUAUCUAUUGGUGUGGUACUUGGAUUAUAACCUCAAUAGUUUAGAGCUUCUGUUACUCUUUCGUUCCCAUAGAAUAUUGUUCUUCCCUUUGAUCUUCCUGCUAUUUCAUUUUUUGUGAACAAAUAAAAUUAAUAUUCAUUCCACUAUAUGAUCAAGAUGAAAACGUACAAGAGUGUCUACCGGAGGUACAUACUCCACAUGGAGCUGUAUGGGUCGCGGGUCCCGGCAACUGCAGAAACACUCAAUACGUGCUCACCAACUACGACAAUAGGAAUGGGAAGGGAAAGUGCCACCGCAUAUUACAAUAAGUAAUAAGACACUACAUAAUUCUACCUAUUGGACUAAAAGGUAAUCCUUAUUCAGGUACCAUUACAAUGCUAGCUCUGUAACCGGUCCAUACCAGCAUUCUACUCAAGUGCGAGGCACGGUAAUUGUCCCGGACUUUGCUUCCGUGGUGAUUUCUAGACCUUGACGCCUUCUAUUUCCAUGAGAUCUAGAGAUGUUUCCUCGCAGCGGCGACGUUUGCGGUCAUCAGAAUCCUGGAUUCGCAUCGUAGCUUGCGCCGAACUCUGUAGUCCCAAGUUCGGGAAACCAUAGAAUCUGGUUAGUCGGAAACUCUUGUUGUUCUCAUCCAUCUCGUGCAUCGAGAUGUAGUUCUGGGUGUAGUUUAUUAGCACGCUACGAUUGGAUUUUCCAGAGUAUUGCUAAUCCUCAACUGUGACCUUGAGCCUCCACGACAAAGCACGAGUCAAACCCCCGGUUGAUCCGAAUCAAUUCCAUCUUCUCAUUUUUUGCUUGGGUUUUAAUCAGAUAAGCUAAGUCUACUAAGUGUGUUUGGACUAUGUCAUGGACAACGUUGACAACCCUAACUUGGGAGUCGCCGUAUAUACCAACUUAAAAUCCUCAUCAAAGAAAUUUGAUGGCAGCCGCCGACAAUUUGCUCCCCUCAAGAGCUCAACCUAUCGCAGGUAGGACAAAUUUUCCGCUAUUUCAUUUAUAUGGCAAUCCGAUGAUGAAAUGGUAGCUAAUUAUAAAAAAAACUAGAAGUAAAUAAAAAAUGUGAAAAAAAAUCAAAAUACCUUUUUGUUUAAAGGUAAUAAAAUGAAAAAGAUUAGUUAGAAUCCACGUAGAUACGCGCUUCCGGACAGGGUGCGCAAUACGGCAAUGACCAACGUUCUUCUCCUUCCUCUUCCUUCAGUUUCCUUGUUAACGAGGGGCGGAAGAAGUCAUGGCUGAUUUCCUUUCUCUCCUAAUUCCUAACCAAAUUUCCUUGUUCUCCUUUUUUUCUCCUCCCACCUCGUGCAAUUUCUCUUGUCGUUUAGUGCUCCGUAACUAAAUCGAAUCACGUCACAUGAACGGCAAGCGGCCGCGGUCCUGAUCGCUGCUGCUUUUUCAGCUCGAAGGUUUUUUGCUCCUGGCAGUGAGAUUGCAACCGGGUUGUGCGCUUGGAUGGGGGACACGGACAGCUGUAGCAGCAGAGCUGUGGAGUUCGUUCCGGCUCUGAAUAGAAGUCGGAGGCAAAAAGUAGAGGUUUACAAUGAAGUUCUCCGCCGGCUCAGGAAUUCCAAUGACCAAGAAGCUAGUCUCCCAGGCUUUGAAGACGAGCUGUGGAAUCAUUUCCUUCGGCUUCCUACUAGGUACGUACGGUGCCGCCAUUUGAUUUUAUUCCGUGACAGUUCACGUGGAAAUUUUUCUAGUACAGUAGUACUUCACAUGGAUUCCCUACGAUCGUCCAAUUUUGUUCGCUCCACGGCCCUGAUGCCGGAGACUGUACAGAUUAUGAUUCCUCUGUUUUUGUUAACUGUUGUUUCAUUACUGCUAAUGCAUUUGCAUGCCGCCGUAGAUUCUCCUCCUGAUUUCUCGCUGGAAACUUUCUUCUAGUUUUCAUUCGUCGGUUUUCUAAUAACAUUUCUAAGUUGUAGCGAAUCUUCUAAGCUCCGAUUGCGAUUUCUUUAAGCUCAAAAAGUGAUCUCUGAGCUCUCUGGUUUUCAGAUAUGCACUGGAAGUGAACGCAGAAAGGGCACAUGACGUCCUUAUGCACAAGAGAUUGCUGCAGAUGGCUCAUGAUCCUGCUACUAGGCCGGCAGUUGAGGUCCGGCUCGUGCAGGUACGAACACCGAGUUAGAAGAUUCUAUUGAUUCCUUUAGAUGCUCCGGGUUCCUUUUUUUUUACUUUCGGUGGAACAUUUUUCUAUUGGCUUAUUGCUUCAUUAUCCUUCGAAUCUAGAUUCUUAAAGUUUAUGUUGAUUAAUUACACAUCAGUUAUUGGUACGGUAGGUAGGCUGGGCUCUGCAGGGGGUUUUAAUUUCUUGUACCGAAAGGAUUGAGAUAAAAUCUUUUAAAGGGUUUGAUUAUAAACCGUGGAAAAUGAAAAAUAACAAGAAGGAAAGUAGAGGACGGAAGGGGGGUCAGAGGUGGGUCAACAGGAAUCGUGGUCUUUGCUGUUUGGAAAGAAAAAACAGUUCACAGAAGAUCUUUCGACUGAAGAUAACAGUCAUUAUUUCUGCUAAUUAGACCGUGUUAAUUCCAUUUUUGAUUGUUGGAAGAUUUGUCUACUGUGUUAUAACUUAUAAAGUACUCCGAAUGAAUGUGUGAAUCCUGUUAAAUGGUUAUUUGAGAGACUAAUGCCGUUGAUCCCCUCACUUCCAUAUCUAUACUCGCCUGUUGUUUCCAGCAAUGACGGUUUGCUUUGAACUCGGUUGCUUUUAAGGUUCAAAUGGGUUUUUAUUCAAGCUGUUUUCACGCAGGUUUAUUCUGCAGCCCAUGGACAUUCUGCUGACUCUAGUGAAACUGAAUUUUCCAAGGAAAAGCUACCUCAAUUUUCUGAUCAACCCUGGAAGCAGAGGCAUGGGUUUAUCCACAUACUGUUACGGUUUCAUUUGCUCUCUGGGUAGCUUAUCGACACGUUUGACUAAUUAAAAAGCUGACAUGUUUUGACUCUUCCUCUCAUUUCAGUCUCCAUCCACCACCUGCCUUUGGUUCAUUGCCUGACCUAGAACUUGCAUAUGGAGCUCAAGAUAAGGAUACUGGCCGUGCAAUUUACUCUCGGUACAAAUUCUGGGAAGCUUUGCUUGUGAACUUAUCGUUGUCCUGGUUUAAACCUCUCCAGCUACUUUUUUGUGUGUGCUUACAGUUGGUAUGUUUUCCAAUUUUCUUCUGUUUUUUUGCCUGAACAAACUUCUCUGGCUAAUGUUUAAAUAUAGUAUCUGCAAGGAAUAUAGUCUGUUCAUACUUAAUACGGUAUAGAAAAAGACAGGAAAUAUGUUUUCCUAUUAUGGAUGUUGCGUUAUUUUGUCUUGUGACGUGCUGGUGUAUGAUAACUUUAUGUGCUGUGGGAUCAAGGCUUUUGUUUUUCUUGCAUCAACUUGAGAGCUAGUAAGUAAACUGCUGCCUUAGUUGCUGUCCGUCUUGGUGAGUCAUGGCACCAUAGGCCCCUGCAAUUGCAUGUCGCAAUUCACACCACUUCUGUUAAAACUCUCAAAAGUAUAUUGGCAGGCACCAUACGCAUGAAUUGUCUGAUAUGUAUUGAUUAUAUUUUUCUUCUUUUACCAACUCAUGGGAACGCCUUUUUGGUUUGGAGGAAAAUGUUAUCUGAGUCAAGCAUAUUACUAUCUCUACCAUAGGUCCUUGAUAGACUAUUUUCUUGCACUGUUUUUGUAACUUUUAAGUCAUGUGCAUCUGGAUCAGCGUAUGCAAAUGUCAUAUGAGUCAAAUUCCAUUCCGUAUUUCUACGGAUGCGUUCGUGGACAGAUGCAUGCUAAUAUUCCAAAGAUCCAGCUACUAUGAUACAUCUGUUCAGAAUAUACUGCUGGUCCAUAGACAAGAGUUUUUUUUUUUCGUUUGGUCUAGCAUGUGACUUUUUUUCUUCCCUGUUUUGGAUUGUCCUUAAACCUUCAUCUGCCAUUUGUCUACAGAUUAUCCUUUUCAAUCCUUAUCAUCCACUAAUCAAGACCAUUUCUUUCCUUAACAGCCUUAUGCACGAGAUUACAAUAUCCACAAGUGAUAAACCAAAGCUUCUCAGUCAGGUGUUUUGACUUGUUCAUAUAUUUUUUAUAUGAAAUAUUUUCAGUUCCUUUCAUCUACUGAUCGUUUAUUCUUUCACUGGAAUUUUUAUUUCAGUUGACUUCCUUGCUCUCUGAGAUUGAGCUAAAUAUACAAGAAGCGCAUGCUUUUUCUACAACAGAUGGGUACUCAUUAGAUGUGUUUGUUGUUGACAAUUGGAGCCCUGAGGUACACCUAUUUACUCUUCCAUAUGUCACAGAAAGUGGAUACGUUUUCUUCUGUCUUACAUUUGAUUCACAAUUUAUGAUUUCUUAACUUGGCUGCUUAGAUUAAUCCAUUCAUCUUUAUUUAACAGUGAAGUGGCGAACUGGCGUCAUUCUAGUAAUUAUUUGUUAUUUUGGAUUGUCCAUUUUUCAUUAUUCAAUGGCCAUUUGAAUCUUUGCUUUAUGAGGUGCACCUACCAACUUUUGACAUCAUUUUGCCAUAUUUAUUUCCCAUCAGCAUAAACUGUUGUUCCCCAUUCACAGGAGUUGGAGCAACUUAGGGUAGUGCUGGAGCGUGAAAUACCAAAGAUUGAGGUAUCCACGUCCACCAGUUACUUCUUAUUAGAAUUUUAUUCUUAUAAAUAUGAGAUUAAUAUGGGCAAAUUAUGUCGGUUAAUGGGAAAAUUAUGUUGGUUCUUCUUCUGCCUUCAAGUCAAUCUACCACUUAGGAAAAUUAUGAAAUUAUAGCUAGCUGUUUUUCUCUUUUCACUUGAUGAUCUGAAAUGCAAUGCAGAAGAAUGGGAGCUGAAAUCUCAUUUAAUUUAUUAUGUUGUGAAGCAAGACCAAAGAGGAGCCAAUUAUAGAUCUUCUGAUAUGAGCAUUCCUACUGCCUCGAUCGAUGUUUGGGAAAUAGAUGUGACAUUAUUGAAGUAUGAAUUCAAAAUUGCAUCUGGACCCUAUGGUGACAUGUAAGUUGUCAUUUCUGAACAUCUACUGCUGUUUUUCUGGCUCUUGCGCUAAUUCUUGUUCAUUAACAUGGUACAACUGAAGCAGGUAUAAAGGUACCUUCUGUGGUCAAGAUGUGGCUAUUAAGCACUUCAGGGUGGAGCACCUAAGUGAUAAACUUCAAAAGGAAUUUGCUCAAGAAAUCUUUAUUCUGAGGUUUGUUAAAUUAUGUGACUUUUCUAGAGUUUCUGUGAUAUCGCAUCAUAGUAUCCGUUGCAAUUCCUAUGUUCUUCUCCUUGUUCUAAUUUAUCAGUUUGUUGAAGUAUAACCUCUGACUGAAUGCUGAAUAGAAAGAUAGGAUAAGGAACACACUUAUCUAAAACAUUACCAUUUCUGUUGAACGUUAUUAAUCAGCUUUAUGAUGGUCGCUUGUCCUACUAUUGUGGAAGUGUGGUUGCUGCAUAAGGUUUCCCAUUGCACUUCUCCUCCCUGAAAUUCAAAUGCUCGCUUUUCCAAAUUCUCUACAGGAAAGUCCGGCACAAGAAUGUUGUUCAAUUUGUCGGUGCAUGUACCAGACCUCCAAACCUCUGUAUCCUGACAGGUAGAAGAGUGUGCAUAUAUUGAUAAGCUGUAUAUUCCUAGGUAGUGGACAUAUCGGAAAAUUUUUCAAUUAUUUCAGUUUGUUUAUUCUAUCCUGCUUGUUGUCAGAAUUCAUGUCUGGUGGAAGCAUGUACGACUAUCUGCAUAAAAGAAAGGAAACUUUUACAUGUCAGUCCUUGGUUAAAGUGGCAGCUGAUGUAUCCAGGGGAAUGAACUACCUGCACAGAAAUAAUAUAAUACACAGAGACCUGAAAGCUGCCAAUCUUCUAAUGGAUGAAAAUGGAGUGAGCAUUUACUGCAACUCUUUGUGCCAAGUUACUUUCCUUAUUCUUUUAUUUUGUCACUGCAUGCUUGAGCUCCUGUCAAACAAUAGCAAGCUCCUCAAAUCAACGAAAACGUCUCAAUUAUUUAAAACAAUUGGCAUCCAAUUGUGUCAUGCGGUCGAAAAAGAAAUAUGCCACCAUUCCUCUGUAUAAAUUUAUUCUGUUGAGGAUCUGACUCCAUGAAAUUUACUUGUACCUGGUUUUCAGAUAGUCAAGGUGGCUGAUUUUGGUGUUUCCAGAAUGCAAGAUCAUUCAGGUGUAAUGACUGCAGAAACUGGAACAUACCGUUGGAUGGCUCCAGAGGUUGGUGAUAUACUUCACCUCUAGGUUCUAAAAUGGUGGAAACUUCCUCUCCCUUUCUCCUGCUUCAUCUUUCUGCACUGUUCUUGCCUAACUUCUGAAACUUUGUUUCCUCGCUCUGAAGGUUAUUGGACACAAGCCUUACAAUCAUAAAGCUGAUGUAUUCAGCUUUGGUGUUGUGUUGUGGGAAUUGCUUACAGGGAAGGUAAAGCUACUCAACACCUGAUUAUUCUAUCAGCUUGCGAUUUUCUAUAGGUUGUAGUCUGACUAUUUAACUUCUUUUCAGAUUCCUUAUGAAAACUUAACCCCAUUACAAGCUGCAGUUGGUGUUGUACAACAGGUAGUCUCUCCCUAUCUCAGAUGGAAACUUCAGUCAUCUAUCUGUCUAUCAUUUUUGUCCUUCUGAUUGUGAUCGAAGUGAAUAAUCUUGUUAGUAUGACUACACUUGAAUUUAAUAAACUAUUAAAGUAUUAUCAAAUUGUCAGAUUGUGAAAUAAAUAAGUGUAACCAACUCAAAACAUUAUAUGUAUUAUAUCCAGGAAACCAAAACCACCUCCAAAUGGGCCAGGAUUGAUCUAGUACUCACUAGAUAGUUGAUGUAUCAAAGACUCAAAGAUGAUUUAUAGUUACACUCUACAUCUAAACAGUAGGACUAAGACCAUGACUAGACACAAGUCAAACUGAAGCUUAAUUUUCUGAUCUCUCACCCCACAGAUAUCUGAUUCGUGUAUUGGGAUAGCAUUUGAUUCUGUCAAUUUGCUCAGAGAACCUGGAAAGUGAGUUAGAGUUCGUCUUUCAAAUGCUUACCUCUGAAAAGUUAUCACUGCUGUAGGGCCUGAGACCAUCCAUUCCGAGGAAUACCCAUCCCAAAGUGGUUGAACUUCUUGAGAGAUGCUGGGACCAGGACCCAUGUUUGAGGCCUGAAUUCUCUGAAAUUUUGGAACUCCUACAAAAUUUACAGAAGAUGGUAUAAGAUUAUAUGAUGUGAUGCUAUAUUUUUCUAGUUUGUUAUUCCGUUCUGAAUAUUUCAAAAAGGAUCAUCUUAAAUCACUACAAUCUUUGAACAGGAGGAAGGAGAAGACAGAGUGAAACACAAGGUAUCGAGGAAAGUAGUAACUGCAACAAGUUGAUGAUGAGGUUGUUGAACGUUGCAAGAAGUGAGAACCUUGUACAUAACGUUCGUAAUGAUCUCAAAAUUGAGACAACUGCGUUCCGGUUAGAUUUUCUUUUUUUCUGGCUGAAAUUGUCGCCAACCUCUUUUAUUUACUUGUCCUGAUGCAAAUCUUGUAGCUGACUCAUACCUGGGCUCAGUAGACCAAUAUUUCGGGACAAGGCUUGGAUAUCAUUGUAGACUCGCUAACACCGUUCAUUCCAAGAAAUAUACAGCUCGAUCGAAGUUGGAAGAUCAGAAGCUUACUAGUUCUUUUUUUUGUUUCUUAAUGUUGUCACUUGCAUCUAAGACCCAGGUAUCCCAGAGGCACACUUGUGCAUGGAACGUUGAUGGAGGCUCUGAUCACAUGGACACUGAAGCAUCUACAAGGAAAACGGUACUACUGAUAUGUACAUUCGCUAUUCUUUUGUGCUCCUUUUGUGUCUAGUGUAUUUCUUCUUGACUUUGUUUAGCAAGAGGAGUUUCCACUUUUCAGCGACUCCUGUGGGAAGAGAAUAACUUAGGGUGAUCCGUGAUCUGUCCACUUUCUCGAGUUGCUAAAAGGAGAAUUUAUGCUGAAACUAGAAUGAACGCAUUAUAAAGAGUACAUAAUAAGUUGAUAAUGGUUAGUUGUUAGCAUCUUCGGUCACUUCAGCUAAUAUGGAUCACUCAAAUGAGGAACUUUUUUUCUCUCUGAGCAGUUUAAUCACUUCAUGAUGUAGUUGUCAAGCUUCCACGUCUAUGUGAUGUCUUAGAUUCUUCAGUCAUUGAUGUCUUUAAUUUACAUUUCAUCUGCAUUUCAUUACAUUAGAAUCAUGUACACAGCUGCUAAGCCUUCCCAUGUCAUUACUUUAUAUAUGAUCUGAAUUGUUUUUUUUUGUGAAACACUAGACUUAGACAAGAGGGCCUUCCUACAAUGGAAAGUCUGAGAAGGUCCUUGAAAUCUUGCUGUUCUCAUGCUAACCUGCAACAACAAGAUCAUCUUGAACAAGAAAAAAAGGAAGCUCUUUUGAACCAGAUCAAUCACAAUUCCCAUCCGGUCAGGAUAUCUGAUUUUCCUGGCAAGGAAGACCAGUCGGAGUUGACAUUCAUAUUGCCACGCCCUGCAAAGGAGCAAAGGAGACUGCUUCAAAGCACUCUAAUCCGGAAAAGCCUAAGCUAUCCUUUGCAGAAAGUGCAGAGGAAGCUAUGUGGUGCAAAUAAGAUAAAGAAGAAAGCCAACCAUCACAGAAUGAUCCUUUCCAUCGUAACCCAUGGAGGUCACUCAUGAUCAGAACAAAGUCCAGACUAAUCGAAGACCUUCCAGAUGAAGCAUACAGCACAAGUGAUUGUGAGAAAGAAGAAGAUCUAGAAGAAGAAGACGACCAUGAUGAAGAUGUUUCAUACAAGAACAGAGGAGGCAACACUUUCAGAAUGCUACUUUAUCUGGCUCUUAUCUCUGCUCUUGCCGCCUUAAUUUGCACGCUUUGCAUCCAUGCAAUGGGGAAGAAAAAACUCUGGGACCUUCUACUGUGGAAAUGGGAGAUAAUGGUUUUGGCACUCAUGGGUGGCAAUUUGGUCUCCAGUUGUGGGGUUAAGCUCGUCAUGAUCCUCAUCGAGCGAAACUUCCUUCUGCAGAAACGAGUUCUGUACUUCGUUUACGGGCUGAACAAGCCAGUUCAGAACUGUAUCUGGCUGGGUUUGGUUUUGCUCGUUUGGCACCGGGUUUUCAACGACAAGAUCAAGGAACAGACUCAGAGUAAAAUAUUGCCUUACGGGACCAAGAUUUUAGCUUGUCUCUUGGUUGGAACGUUGAUCUGGCUGGUGAAGACCCUCUUCGUCAAAGGUCUUGCUUCUUCUUUCCACGAGAACACUUUCUUUGAACGAAUCCAGGUGGCUCUCUUCAACCAGUACGUAAUCGAGACACUUUCUGGUCCUCCAGCCUUUGAAGUCGAAAGUGAAUCGAGCAGUAAAGAGAAGAAGCUACAAAAGUGCUCCACCAUCGGUGGAAAGUUGUCAAGGUUGUCUAGGACAGUUUGUAGCAGAAGGAAUGAAGAGAUCACAAUAGACGAUCAACAUCGUUCACAGAGGUUCAUUGUCUACUCUGGAUGAACACAUACUUGAUUCAGACAUGAAAGACGAGUCUUCGUUGCACAUCAGGAGUGUUUGCCAAGCAAAGGAAGCAGCCAAGAAAAUAUUUGCUAAUGUGGCAGCUCCAGGAUUCCAGUAAGUUCCCAAACUUAUUCUGCUUCGGUUUAGUAGCCAUUUCAUUUCAAUAUGAUGGAAAUCGAGACUUGCAAAGGAGAAUUUUGCUUUGGUUGAAGAAAAAUGGGACGAUUGAUAUAGUUAUGUUGAGGUUUGAGCUUGGAUAAAGAGGUAAAGUGUGGUAGAUGUCAUUAAACGUGCGAUUCAUGAAAAAACAUUUAAAAUGUGAUCAAGAGGUUGAUUUUAAUGAUCGUUAAUAAAUUUAGUAGAAAUAUAACUGUGGGUGAGUCAUGUGAUAUUUUGCAAGUUGUUCAUCUUUCCUCAUGUAUUUUGAAAUUGGAACACAAAGUAGAAUUGAAAAGGGAUAUUAAACACGUCUUGAGUUACUUGUUUCAGUUACGUGUGUGUGCACUUCAUUGACACAUUCCGUACUCAUCAUAAAUUCAAUUGCAGGCAUAUCUUCAUUGCCGCCUUGCUGCGCUUCAUGGCUAAAGAAGAGGCCUUGAGAGCCAUGCAUCACUUUGGACCAGGAUCUGAGAAUGGAGGGAUUAGCAGAUCAUUACUAACUGAGUGGCGGGUAAAACACGAAAAUAACGGACUGCAAACUUAUCGUUACUCGCUGGCCCAAUAUGUCUCAAGUUUGAAAACUAAGGUCUGUUUCGUUUCUCAGGUUAAUGCGUUCAGAGACAGGCAAGCGCAUUGCACUGUCACUUAACGACACGAAGACGAACUCCACAACAUGCUCAACUUCAUUGUAGCAGUGAUCAUCAUAAUAAUCUGGUUUGUCAUGCUGGGAAUCCCCAUUACUCACUUCCUGGUUCUCUUAAGCUCGCAGCUUCUUUUGGUGGCAUUCAUUUUGGCAAUUCCUGCAAAACGACCUUCGAAGCCAUCAUUUUCUUGUUCGUCAUGCAUCCCUUUGAUGUCGGAGACCUUUGUGAAGUUGAUGGAACCCAGGUACAGACAUUAUACAUACACAGCCCGCCUUUUUCGUCUUAUGUUGUUGUGGCAUUGAAUUCAUCUACAUUGGAAAACAACAGAUGAGAGUGGAGGAGAUGAACAUCUUAACCACAGUGUUGCUCAAGUCCAAUUACCAGAAGAUCACAUUCCCAAACAGUGUUCUCUCCACCAAACCGAUCUCCAAUUUCUACUGCAGCCCAGAUAUGACAGAGGCGAUCCACUUUUGUGUCCACAUCUCAACUCCAAUGGACAAGAUCUCCGCUAUGAACGACCGGCUAAAAGCGUAUGCAUACAGAAUUCGAUUCAUAUUUGAAUGGAAAUCUGAUUCAGAACUAGCGUGUAUCAACCACAGAACUUUUGUCAAUUGUCUAAUACUUGCCUUCUGUUAUUGUGAUGGGAUGUCUCAUGCAGUUUGAGAAAUCGAUCUGAAUUUCAUUUCAAAUCUCUCAACUUCUUUGCAUGGGAAGUAAGUCUUACUUUCCAUCAAGUUUUAUAUUUCUGUUAAAUAGAUAUUUGCUGGCCUCUCUCGCAGGUACGUGGAGCGGCAUAAGCAGUACUGGCACCCAACGGCGUCAGUGUUUUAUAAAUGAGGUGGAAGACAUGAACAAAUUGCAGAUGCAAGUUGCUGCGAGGCACAGGAUGAACUUCCAGAAUAUGGGAGACAGAUUUACGAGGAGAGGGCAUCUAAUUAAACAACUUAUCACAAUGUUUCGAGACUUGGAACUCGAGUACCGAAUGCUUCCACUUGAUGUGAACAUGAGAAAUCUGUCGUAACAAACAACAAAACAACACGACUGUUUGUCUAAAUAAAUUAUAGAUGAAUAAAAGCUUCUCUGAACAAGUGAUGGCAAUGUAUUUAGGUGGUUGUGGAAUGUUAUGAUGCUGUCAACUGUAAAGUGAGGGCCAUAUAACAGAAAGAUGAUAUAUUGGUAUAAACCAAACGGCGAAGAUCAAAUUCAAAAACAUUCGAGAAUGGAUGCAGUACGUUAAAUCAAAGUACAAAUAUAAAUUCUGUUUUGAUUAUACAUCAUCAGAAAUCAAAGUCCUCUGUCUCUACUUUUCUUGUCGUUGAUUGUGUGGCUGAAAACAGAACACCACCCACCUCAUUUCCUCCUGAUGGCAAAAUUCUUAGCCAUCAGCCUGAACAUCGCCUGAGACAAAACAAAAAAAAACUAGGCGACCACAUUAUUCUGCCUGUAAAUUUACAAUCACCCAAUGCCAAUGUGAGAGCAAAAAGAGCUGAAUCCAUAUGCGCAGUGUUUGGUCCUUGCCGAAUCUUUGGCCUAACAACAACCUCUGUAUAUAUAUGGAAAGAAAAACGUACUACUAGCUACCAACUUCUACCAUCUGGUAACUAAAUAUUUACUCAAAACCAAACAACGGCAAUGGCACGACCUCACUCAACUUUGGGGGGACACCUCAACAUGUAUCUCCAUAACACUCUAGCCUUUGAGAAAAUCCUUCAAAGCAAAUGGUGGAUGCUCAUCCUACAAAGUCAGAUUCAACAAACACCAUCAAGAAGCAGUUUGCAUAAACAGAUAAGGAUGAAUUUUGAUUUACCUUCGCAUUAUCUUGAUUCAGCAGUUGACUGACGACUGUCGUCUGCUGUAUCAACCUCUCUAUUGGUGUGUGGCUCGGAAGACUUGUGUGUGCUGAUUAUUUUUCAGGAUAGAUGAAGCAGUAAACAAACAUAGAACCACAUAACACAAAUCUGCUUAGAGUGAAAAGCAAAUAGAAGAAUCAACGAACUGAACAAACCAAGAAUAGCUCGGUUCAAACAAUCAACCACUUGCUGGCGAUGCUCCAAGCUGAGGAGAUGAAACAUGGGAGAUUUCUCAGGCUCCUCAUAGGCAAGCAGAGCCAUGAAGUCCUGCAGUACCACCAGCCAUUGAAAUUGGGUGUUGAAGACAUUAAAAUCCCAGUUUCAAAUACUGUACUAUUAGGAGGAGUUAUCACUAGAAAGGAGCAUACUUCAAGUUUUUCAACAUACUUCUGCACCUUCCCGAACUGUGUUAGCUUUGCCUGUGCAAAUUCCAAAGCCCCGUGGCUGCCGCAUACAGCAAAAAACAUGUUAAGUGCUCUAACUAUCUGAGUGACAACAUAAGAAAUUGCAUACCAGCUACAUACACUCACCACUUCCUCGAGCAGACAAGCUCAACAAAAUGAAGGCUCAAUAGGUCAAAAUGCAAGUCCUGGUUCUUCUCUAGUAAAUCCGGUGCUAGUUGUUCUGUUAGCUCAAUAGCCUUGAGUGCAUUUCCCUCUAGCGCAUACUGGAAUAUUUCUGCAGGCGCAUCACAAAAUUGGCAACUUCUAAAAUGAAUUAAUCAAUAGUAGUUGUAUAACAUUCCAUACGCCAAGCCACAUUGCACACAUUGUGAAAACCAUGCCAAACUUUUCCUACUGUUAUUGAACAAUGGAAGGAAAAUGGUGACAUACUUUUCCUUUUCUCUAUGCCUUGAAGAUAAUCGGGAGGCUGGUUCAUCCCAGUGGAAGACACAAAAGAUUCCACGGUUUCCUUGUAGCAAUUGUGAACAAGGUAAGAAAGAAUGAUGUCUUGGACAUCACAGUCUUUGAUAGUCUGUAGAAGAAACCACGGAUUUUAUAUAUUAAGCAGACAUAAUAAUAAUGACAGCAGCAAAACUAAACACAAACACAGCUGUGGAUUGGACAAUUAUCAUCUAUAAGACUGCAAUAAACGAUCGCAUCCCAACAUAAAAGCACACAAAUUUUGGACUUGCCCUAAUUCAUUCUGCAGUCAUGUACACAAACGCACCAUCUGAAAACUAAAUCAAUCGUGGAACACAUAAGAUAGGGUUUCCUUCGUAAGCGGAGAGCCAGAUCUCAAAAUGGGAGAGAGAUUCUUACAACGUGGUCGUAGCUAGGAGGAUCAACGUCCAUGGCUGAUAAGGAGAAUACUGCGGGCAGUGGGCGUUUGGGAUUUGAAGCUACAAUAGGCAAUCAAUUGUGAUUCAGGGACAGAGAUUGCUUUUUGUGGCAUUAGCUUUGAAGGCCGCCAUUCGGUGAAGCAGCUGGAUUAGAGACUUGGGCGUGUUGAUGUUUUUGGUUGAGGUUUCUCAGAUUUAGGUUUCCAGAGCUGGAUGAAAAAUGAGAGGCUCAAGCUCAGAAGGGGGGUUCGAGAAUUGGAAACUCAAAACAGGGGGUUGGAGACUGGAAGAAGAAGAAGAAGAAGAAGAAGGAGAAGUUGGUUUGGAUGAGCACAAGGUCCAGAUUAUUUCGCUGAUUUUUGUUUGUUUCGGUUUUCUCAGAAAUGGUCGGGUUUGGUUAAGAGUUCCGGUCCUGGGUUGAAAUCACUCUGAUGAUGACUGUAUCUGUAUCUGCUGUCGACGUGGCAUGCCUGCGUGGCCAGCUAAGCUGUUGAUUUAGAGGGAAAAUCCUGAGACGCAAAACUAAGAAAACAGAGUGAAAGAGAAGUUUGCAAGUUGAUAAUGAGGGUUGUUGAACGUUGCAGAGAACGUUGCAGAUAACAUGAUCUGUCUCAAAAUUGCGUUGUGGUUAGAUUUUUAGUCUGAGUUUGUGGCCAAUACCUGCGCUAACACCGUAUGUUCCAAGAAAUAUAUACCAAGUUUGGAAGAUGAGAAGAAUUACCAGUUCGUAUUUUUGCUUUCUUAAUACUGCAUCUUAUAAGACCCUGAAGAAGCAAGCAUCUACAAGGAAAAGGUGUCCGUUAGAUUAUUUGCUUAACCGGGUUUACCUCUCUGUCUCUGAUCUGCAGCUCUACUGAUAUUUACUUCCCCUGUAUAUUCUUUGGUGCUCCUCAACUUUGUCUAGUCUACUUCUGGAAUUGCUAAAGGGCGGAAUUUGUGCUGAAACUAGAAAUAACACAUAUGUUGAUAGUCAUUGGAUGCUAGCAUCUUCAGUAAGUUCAGCUUAUAUGGGCAUAUUGAUAUUAGAUCCGGUCUCACAUGCAGUAGAAUCAAACAGACAAAUUUUCGAAAGCUCUCAGGACGCUCACAGAUCGAACAUGCAAGACUAGAUCUACUGUAAGAAACGUAAAGAGAUACGAGAUUUGUUAGCGCUGUUCGGAGUUAUCUCUUCUAUCCAACGGAACCUUAAAGAGGGAAGGCUCAACUAAAAAUCGAACUAAUCGGUAAGAUUACAAGAUCGAUAAAACUUAAACAGAACCCUAAUCACAUCAAGAAAAAUUAUAACAGAGAACAAAGGAAGGGAAGAAGAAGAGGAGGGUUUCGGGCCCCUUUCAGACUGAGGGACGACGGCAAAAGUUCCAAGACGAGAUCAAAUCUCUGACGGAGACUGAUCGUCGUGUGCUUCUAGAUCUCCGGCGGCUGUUGAGAGAGACUUUAUUCUAAAGUUUCAGGAGAUGAGAUCUUCUCUCUCUAAGAGGCCAGUGAUUGUUUAUAUAGUCAGGGGGCAGAGCGUUGAACGUUCGAUUGAACCGAGAGUGCUAGCUUGCCCUAUCGAAAAGGAUGUCCCUUUUCAGCUCGUCCCAGUGGAUAUGUCCAAAGGUGAACACAAGAAGCCUGAUUUCCUCAACAUCCAGCCCUUCGACCAAGUCCCUGCCUUCCCAGACGACCACAUCUCCCUCUUCGGUUAGCAAUACCUUGUCUAGUAGUACCCCCUAAUUAUUCAUUCAAAUUAUGGCUUAAGAAAUUGGUUUUGACAGAGUCAAGAGCAAUCUGCCGGUACAUAUGUUUCAAGUACCCAACCAAAGGUAACAAGUCAUUGUACGGCCCAGACCCACUAUCCCAAGCCUCCAUCGACCAAUGGCUAGAAGCAGAGUCGCAGUCCUUCAACCCACCAAGCGGCACCCUCGUUUUCCAACUCGCUUUCGCACCGAGGAUGAAGAUCCCGCAGGACAAGAAAGCAAUCAAGCUCAACGAGGACAAGCUGGGGAAAAUUCUGGACGUGUACGAUAAUAGGCUAUGCGAAAGCCGGUAUUUGGCCAGCGACCAGUUCUCGCUGGCCGACCUUUCUCACUUGCCCAACGCCGAUUACCUGGUGACGGCGGCUGGAAAGGAAGAGAUGUUCAGCUCGAGGAAGAAUGUUGGGAGGUGGUUGGAUGAAGCUAUUGGGAGGGAAAGUUGGAAGACAGUCAAGGAGUUACGCAACAACUGAGAAUCAUUUAAGUUUUAUUAACUCCUGGUUUUGUUUCUAGUUAUGAAAAAUAAACACAGAGAACAAGUUUUAUUUCUUUUUUCAUUAACUUUAUUGUCGAUCGUGUUUGCUUCAUGAUUUCCAAACUAGUAGAGGUUGAAUUGAUGGGGUUUAACGAUCUAAUCGAGGUCUGAUAGUGAUUUGGAGUCCAACCACUUUAUUUUUUUAUAAAGGACUACCCUCAUGAUAAUUUUCAUAUAUGAAUCGAGAAACAUACAAAAUGUCCAACAAAAGUUGUAGUUACCACUAAUGGAGCUGCAUGUGCUGCAGGAUUAUGCUUUCAUAAGAAGACCUCAGUCCUUUCUCUCUGUAACAGACAUCAUGACAAAGAAAAAUACGAAACAAAACACAACAUAAGUCUGAAUUCGAAGAAAUCUAACAAAACCAACACACAGACUCGAAAAGGAGAUAAUGGUAGCCUAGCAGACAUGGAUGUUUAUCAUCCUUAUUGGAACCGCCAAAAGAGGCUAGGGUCUUGGCUAUCCUCAUGGCUUAAGUCAGUGUGACGGACCGUUCCUCGUAGCUGGAUCGGCUUCGAACUUUGUUGGAAUCUGAUGCUCUUGUUUUCUCAUAGAUUUAAUGGGACGGUGAUCCUCCAUUUCAUCUAACUCCAUAGGUUAGUUGCGGUUGGGUUUUCUCGACAAUGUUUCUUGUCUCCCGUCUUAUCUUGACUACCAACAUCGACUCCUGAGUCUUCAGUUUUCUCUCCUGUCGACUGAGCUUCCUUGUACACUUAGAGAGCCAAUGAACUAUUAGUCGUUGAUCUUGCUGGUAUUCUCGAGCCAUCCGUAUUUGUGUGUUGGUGUCCUCUCGGACCACCUCCCAUUGGGACAUUGCUUGAGCUUGCGUCUCUUUCCAUGAUAGUACCUUGAUCGAUUCAUCCCACUGGAAGAUAAUUUGGUCUUCCGGGUAUUUAAACCUGAGCACGCAGCUCUUGGUGUCUCCCAAAAUACCACAAAUAUAACAAAAGCAUGACAAUCGUUCAUAUUUGUACUUGCAUGUUACCUCUUUUUUCAUGGAGCUGGACGGUCUGUUCCUUGAAUAAAGGUUAUUGAUGUUGAGAGACACUCGAACCUACAUAUAACACUACAAAAAAGAUAAGCAGUACAAAUCUCACGAAAGUGCUCAUUGUCAUAAUAAGCAGUACAAGAAUCUCACCGAGUGGUCUGUAAUCGUUAUUAAUCCUAUUUGUACUAUCGAAACUGAUUGAGUCGCCAAAUACUGAAUAUUCAUCUCUCAUUCGGCCAUCUGACCAAAAUACAUUUAGGACUUCCCCAUUUUCAUCUUCGAAAAUUUCAUAGAAGAAUUAUUUGUCACUAUUAGCUCUUUUUUUAAAAUGUUAAUGCAUCAUGAAAUCUUCUUCCCGUUUCAGUAGGCUGAGAUACAGGGCGUAGGUGGUUCCUGAGAUUUUCCAGUGUAAACCCGACAUGUGCUGCUCUUCCAGCUAUUUGUCGCAUUAUAUUAAAUGAUCGUUGCGGUGGGACUCUAGUGAGCUUAUGGAUUUUGGAAAGUUUGGAGUUUGUACUGUUUAUACUUCUCCUCGAGCAGUGAAGAUGGUUGUACUUGCCUGGAAUUAUCACAUGAUUGUGUUGGUUUAUCCAUUCGCUUAUAAAAAACUUCUUAAUGUCACUAUCCCAAUGCAUUUUUAUAUUUGCUUCACAACCAACUCUUUCCUCUGGAUGUUCUCUUUUACGCGAAGUAUGAUCGAGUUCUCCAUUGUUCUUCUUAUCCAGCUCAUUUUUUGGUCGGAAUCCUUCCCUGGAACAAACUAGGAUAGAUAAUAGCACUGUAGCUCUCCAUCCGCGGCUAGGACUUGGUGUUUUUUGUUUUUCAUAUUUCUGGUAUGUUGGUAAGCAAUCCUUGUGUCGAACCCUUUUGAUGUAGCGUAUACUUGGUAGUAUUUGUAGGCUUCUCGCUUCGUAUGAAACAAAGGACCUCUAGCUUCCAAAAAUUACAUGAACGUCAAUAAGUUGGAUACACAACAGAGGUAAUUAAUGAAACGUUUUGUUCAUCACGAACAUGAAAUUAAUGACUGAAUGUCACGAAAAUACAGACGUGUGAUUAAGGAUUAAAUGUCACGAAAGGAUAACUUUUGCAAUGAAAUAGACGAACGGAAAGCUAAAGCCAACGAGCUCACGAGAACCACGAACGUGUAAUUAACGUCUGAAUGACACGAAAGGAUAACGUGUGACGUUAAACGUUACGAAGUUCACGAAAAUGUGAUGAAGGAAACGAACCCUUACUCUUAAUUCGAGAAUGACACGUUUUGUUCAUCACAAAUGUGACAUUCAGUCAAUUCGAGAAUGACACGUUUUGUUCAUCACAAAUGUGACAUUCAGUCAAUUCGAGAAUGACACGUUUUGUUCAUCACAAAUGUGACAUUAAUGACUGAAUGUCACGAAAACUACGGACGUGUGAUUAAGGAUUGAAUGUCACGAAAGGAUAACUUUUGCGACGAAAAUGACGAACGGAAAGCUAAACCUAAAGUGCUCAUGAAAAUCACAAACAUAUAAUUAACGUAUGAAUGACACAAACGGAUACGUGUGACGAUGAAGGCAACGACCCCUUUACUCUGAACGGGUGAUGUAGGCAUCGGAAGGCUUACGAAGGGCUCGAUAAAUCAGAGAACGUUUCGUGUUGUUCCGUAGUUUAGUUGUUGCGUGAAAUAAACAAACGUCCAUAUGGUUUUGUUCCAAUGAAAUGUGAAACCAGGACGUUGAACAACAACCCAUGAAUCGACAAACAGGAAACACGAAAAGUCCACGGAAAGCACGAGAACUACAUCACAAUAGUCAUAGAUACGAAAGACUAAUCGGGAAUGAGAUCUGAUGUUGUAUUCUGCGAGGGCGGCGACGUUUCAGGCGGCAUCUCGCCGGCGGGCUUCAAUUCCGUACGUAAAUGGCGGAAUAAAUUGGGAGAAUUUCCGUGGGUGGGGUGGGGGAAGAGAGAGAAACUGAGCAACAAAUUUAAAUUCCUAAUUAAUGACAGCAGGCGUCGGUAUUAAUUUAAAUAUUGGCGUCGUCGUGUCUGUCAAAUCAGCACGAACGUACGUCCGUCAAAUUGACAUCCAAAAUCGUGCCCGCGUACUUUCCGGCUUCCCAUAAUGCCCUUGGAUCGACAAACAUACGAACGUACAUUUCCCUGAUCCGCAUUUCCCCCUAUAUAAUAGACGACCAUGAAGCGCUUCAGCACUGUCUAUAUAGGUGUUGAAGCCCACUUCAGCAACAGAAUACACCCCGAGUCCAGGGGCAUGGUUAAAUUUCCUGGUGACCAUUUUGCAUCAUAGUCGAAAUUAGUGUGUUUGUAAGGCACUUUGCAGAAUUAAAUAAAACAGCCACUGAGGAAUUGACACGUGGCAUGGGAGUACCGAAAUCUCCUCCAUAUAUAAUAUAACGUUACGUUUGCAAUUACUUUAAGGGAAAAUGGUAGUUUUUACCACUCCACUUUUUCAAGUCACAACUAUCCUCAUGACAUGAAAUUAUAAGUUCAACUCUUACUUUUUUAGGUUUUAACUCCUAUCCGUUUAUUAUCUUUUUAACAGUUCAUCCAAUCUACUUGAACGAUUGCGUACGGUCCGAUGUCCCCAAAAACUCUUGUUUUUUCGACGUCAACACACUUAUCAGCCUUGAAUUCGGUAGCGUCAUGCGCAUCUCCGUCCUUAUACCCGACGGCACUACCUUUGGUAAGAAACCUUCCCAUUCCCUUUUUCUUCAAUUCUUUUGAUUUUUGACAUUUUACCGUACACUUUACCUUCAAACAACUUGAAUGGUAUAUUUCAAAUUGUUUGCAUCCUGAAAACAUGUGGCGGUGAAGGACUUGAAACUAGCAAUUAAGAAGAAAGUCGAUGAAAUGGAGCAGUCAAUGAUGGGUCACAGUCAUAUUUCAUGGUAGAAACUACUGCUUGCUCGUAAAACCAAUUUUAGAACUUCACCCCCUUUACUUUUUGUCUGAUUGAAUUGCUUUUUGUCAUGCUGUAUUGUAGUGUAGGAGGCACAUUUGGGCUAAUUUUGUCCUGUCACAUCAAAACCAAAUGCAUCUCGAUGAAGCUCUGCUCUUCAGGAUUUCGGCAUACGCAACAAUUCUCAGGUUGGCUUGCAUUUUUGUUUCUUCUUACCGCAUAUCCAGUACAACAGCUAGCAGAUUCAACUUGUUUAACAUUUCAUUGUCAGGUGAAAUUUUGUGCUGUAUGUUGUGUCAUGAAAUUUUGUGCCUCUUUCCUACUGCAUCAUAGUAUGAUUUCUAGAAGAAAUGAAGUAAAGAGUUGGUGACUCGUCAGACAAAACAUCAUCAUCAGAACUUAAUAUUGGCAUGAAAUUUGAAGUUGCUGCUUUAUUUUCUCUUCUCCAGGUCUCUUUAUGUCUUGUAAUGUUCUCUCAAGUUACAAAUAUGCAGCAGCUAUUUAGUUGUGGUGGGUAAUCCGUUUUGAAUCCAUGAGUUAUAGCCGCCAGCAACAUCAACCACGCUUGUAAACCCCUGCAUAAUCAAACACACAAGAUUUCCAUCAGACUCUUAUCUAAUCAUGUCUUUCAUACAAUAUCAGCUAGUAUAUUGGAACACAGAGAGUACUACUGACAGCAGUUUGCAUAUCAGCUGCAGCCAUGAGUGACCUCCUUCCACUCUGACAACCCUGCACAACAACAACAACAAGUAGACACCUCAUCAGAGGUCUAAUCCCUCCGUCGUUCUGAGAAAUUAAGAGGGAGGAGAAAUGGUACUGAGAAAUGACAUACAACUAGGAUUUCGUCUUGCUUGUUAAACUUGGACGAUACUUCAUCCAGAAACUUGGGAUUCUUAGACAUGUCUGAACGGAUGAAUCACAAAUCCAAGUGUAAGUUUUGGUUCAUGACUGAAUAUAUUUGCAGUAAAAACAUUACCAGCUCCUUUGUUGAGUAGGUAAGGAAUGUUCACAGCUCCAGUUGGAUGACCUGCAUUGAACUCCUCACAAGAUCUACACACACAUACACCUAAUUAAACAUUCUGAUAUUAACUUGCCUUCAAUUCUAUUCUUCAGAUUCAAGUGUUGUUAGAUACUUACCUGACAUCCAAAUACCUGUGCCCUUUAACCAGGAGCUGGUAUGCUGCCAGAACAGCCACCGAACUCGGUGACGGCGGCUGAGUCCGUCCAUUAGCUAUUGUAGUGAACAUGGAUUGAUUAAAAUUAAAUGCCUGGAAAAGCAUGGAGGCAGAAUGCAUAGGAAAAACACACCCAAAGUUGGCGAUUCUAAUGUCUCUCCCUUGCAAGACUUGACAGUACGCCAUUCGGAUUGACGGACGGAGACGCCCAGUGAUGGAAGGGUUCUGGAACCUUAGAAGGAGAGAAGCCGAAGCCGCCGCCAUUGCAAUCUCCGGUUUCGUUUGGGAGACAAUUUCGGUUUCCGAUGUAGAAUUUGCCACUUAAUCGAUACGUCCGAAGUAAAGCAUGAGGGAAUACUAAAGUUGUUCAUCCAUACCUCGUACUCAAGACUUUGGGUCCAAAAACCUAGACGGCCCACGGGGCCAUUUACCAAUUAAUAUCAACAACAACCAGUACCAUAAUAUCAAUUCAAGUACCCCAGACGAAAAGAACGAAAUAUCAUCGAUAAACAUCCUAAUUACCCCACAAAAUAAAACAUGAUGCAAAAGGCCUUUUCAAUUGGUAGAUACAGCUUGGUGACCACAGUUUUAAUAUAUGAACUCUAUCGAACUUAUUAGUUUUUUUAUCGUGCGUUGUUGCUUACCAUUGCUUGGUAUUUGACAAAUAUUUGCUCACCCGUCUGUCAUAGUGAUGUACAUAAAGUUGAUAAUGCAAGUUAGACUAUAUAUUUAAUUGUAUUUUACACUAAAAUAUGUUAGUGUUACAAUUGUUGCUGCUUACUAUAGAUAUAUUUUGUCAUCUUCUCGAGUUUACAUUCGGUUAGAGAUCUUGAUAAAUUUCGUUGUAGACAAUGAGCAAUUGCCGUACCAAAAGAAGCCACAGCGAGAUGGGACAACGAACCUAUCUAAACCCUAUAGAGACAGUAUGGUCGCCCAUUCACCGGUGCUGGUGUCAUAAUUUCUUUUUAAAAAACUUGACCCGAGUGAUGGCUAUCAGUGACUGACGACCAGCGACAAUGAUCGAAUUGGCGGAUGACGGAUAACAAUUAAAAAAAUUAAAUUUCAAAUUUAUAUAUUUUAAUGGUAGUCAAUUAAGCCAUUUAUAAUAAUUCGUAACCGCACCGUUAGAACUAUUUACAUUAGAAACAAAUUGAUACCCUUUGAAACUAAUUUAAAACAAAUACUUUCUUGCUGUAUAUAAUUCUAAAAGUUGCUUUGAGGGGACAGGACAACAUAAGAACUUACUGUUGGAAAAGAAAUUUAGUUGAUAGGUUAAAUUCUGCUCUUUCUUCUCAAAUGUACCUCCCAAACUUCCAACCAGCCAGCCACAUUCAAUCAUCCAAAUCAUUCACAUGAGAGCUCUCACCAAUCUCCACACCCAUGAGCUUCUCCUUGUACUCUUUGAGUUCUCUCCUGUACCUUUCUUUAUCCUGCAUCCCUAUGUUCUGGUACACCUACAUACACACACAAAGGAUCAAACUUUUUUCAACUUUGGAAGCCAAACCAUAUUUACCAGAAUUGAUGUCCGACUACACUAUAAUCGUUCAAUUACCGUUCUCUCCUCUUGAGUGAGAUUGCUCCAAGAGUGUCCAAUGAUUUUGGUGAACUCUCUUUCCCUGUUUGGGUACAAGGACUUGAGCUUGUAGUGCUUCUCAGCAAAGAAGAAGUUGUAGCCACUCCUGGUGGGUUUAGGAUUUAGGAUAGUUGGGAUCUCCUCCUGCCCUUUUGCUGCCUCUCCUCCUGCUCCGGCCCCGCCCUCGGCCGUAAAGUCUGGACCUCUUUGGACUGUAGGUCACUAGAGCAGUGCUGCUGCUGGUAGGGGCAAAAUCAGAUGCAGGCUGUUGACCUGGAUGGUAAAGUACUCCACUUAGAACUUGUGAACCUACUGUCACUGAGACUAUGUAUCCACACUCGAAUUUCGCCUCAAUUGUCCCUGUUGCUGUAAAUGUGGACUCUCCUCCUACUCCUUCUGCAUUCAGUAUAGGAAGAAACCAUAUAAGCAAAUUGAAAGGGAUUUGCUUGCUUGCUUGCUGUGACAAAAAACUGUGAUAAACAUGGUACAACCAAAGUAUCAAUGCCAAAUGAACAAGGUUUUGAGUGGUUGGAAAUGGGAUUGAUAAGGAUGCAUGAAUCAUGUGGUACCGCACAAAAAAGCCAAACUUGGCCAACACUUUUCGUUUCCUUUUUUCUUUCUUUCAGGAGUGUGACAAAUGAGUCUAUGAUUUUGAGGAGAAGUCAAAGUCUAUGUCCAUGCAGGGAAAUUAAAGGUAAUAAUAGGAGUUACAAUUCAGGGGUCAUGAAAUCCACAUGAACAACAUUUUGUAAACAAAGAAACAGUUAUGAAUUGAAACUGUAUCAGAGAACAAAACCAGUGAAGUUAAUGAUCAAAUUAAUAAUUACUUAGUAAACACUAUGCAGGAGCAGAAAACAUCAAAAGCCAUAUAGCCACAUAUGUAUAUGAGAUAAAUGUGGUAGGGCCACCUAUAUAUUUCUAGAAGUUAUAUAGUUACAAAAAUAUAAUGUCCAGAUUGUAUCCAUCAAACUAAAAGGACUUCCCACCAGAGCUUCAAGUCCACAACUGUAGACAAGUAGAUUUUAUAAGGUUAGAAAUUAUUAGAUCAAACAUCUGUGGUGUAUACUUGCAAGCAUGACAAUAAAACAAACCCCUUCUUUUUUAUCUUCAAAUCUUCCCCCCUUUUCCCCUGUCCAAUGAAUUAGAGUUGUUGUAUUGAUUCAAUUACAUAUAGUCUUUAACAUUAAAAACCUUGAACGGCACGGAUUGGAUCUCCCAUAAGAUUUCACAGACCAUUGAUAACUUAUCAAAUGUGUAUUUGACACGAUAAAAGAAAUGAAACCCACCUUUAGCAGGAAGAUCUGCAGGAAGUUUUGUUGCAGGAUAUUCCACAAUGUCCAAUUCAGACCUGCUUGAAGAAGAUCCAUUCGCAGGAAAUGUUGCUGCCAAAUCCAAAUAAUAGAAAGAGAAGGAGAUAAAUCAGAACACACCACUUUAAAGAAACAGGCAUCUUGUAGUAUUUGGUUACCAGUUGGAUGAAAAAUUGGACCCUGAAUCCUAAACAAAUGAACUUGUUCAUAAUGGUAAAGGAUGUUAAGGUAAUGCUUCCUCAGCACAAACGAAGCACUUGUGGUCGUUGGUGAGAAUUGAAACACUAUCCCCACUUCCCUCCAUUUCUUCUCUGCAACCACCUGAUAAAGAAAACAGACAAGUCCACAAAAUUUAAUGGAACUAUUCCUCCAUUUAAGAGGAGAAGCAGGGGGGGGGGGAGGAACCCUUUGUUGUACCCAAAAGAAAAGAAGAAAAAGGAAAAACAGAGCACCCCCACGUUGAGUUUUGAUUUAAUCAUAUAAUAACAAAGAUUGAAACUUAACGGCAAAAAGAAUGGGGGUUUGUAAUUUACAUGAACUUGGUUCCGAUUUGGGAGUGGAACUUCUGGAGGGUGUCCCAAAAGAGUUUGGCGUCUUUGACAACAUCCUCAUGGGAAGCUAGAGCGUUUUUGAAAACAUCCUCAUGGGAAGCUAGAGGGGAAGGGUACCGUUCCUCCACCGGCAUUUUCUUUGCCGCCGGCGACAUUUUGCUGGCCGGGGUAAAAGAAAAUAGAGGGGGGUAAAGACAAAAGUUGAGGGGAGAGAGACGUUGGGGGGAGAGGGAAAUGGUGAUUUCCCAAGAUAAGACUGGCAAUUAAGCGACUCACUCGUACAGUUAUUUGCUUUAAUAGAGAGAGUCUCAGACUCUGCUGCGCUUCUGAGCAAAGUAGAGGGAAUCCGGCUAUGUGAAAAGAUGUAACGGUUAUGCAAAUUUUGAGUCUUUUGCUUACCCAAAUUUUCAUUUUCUGAAUUGGCCUACUAAGUAGUGAAAGUGGUGAACAUUUUGGUGUUCAUUCAUAAAUAUUUAACAUAGGACAACCAUUCAAUAUGUUGAGUUAUCUGAAAAAUUUAUUAUAUUCGAAAAUAUACAUAAUUUUUUUCUUAAAAAAUAUCAGGGUUGACUGAACGGUUGUUGCAUUUAUUUUCAAAUAAUCUUUAUUUCCUUAUUUCAAUAGAAUAGAUUUUGAAUUAAUGAGUAUGUUUAUUAAAUUACUAUAUAUCAAUAUUUAAAACUUUUCGUAUAUGUUUAAUAUUUUUGUCAGUCGUAGCACAUGAAUCUUUUUUCGAGAAAUAUUUUGUGUCUAAUGAAGUCAUAGAAAUUUGCUCUAUAGUUAAAUAUGGUGAAGUAAGAUGAACUAUGUAUGUUUCUAAUAGUUAAGCUUCGCCAUUAAGAUAGAAGAUGACUCCAUAGCAACGGAGGAGUUGUUAUCAAAAUCAGUGACAUAGUCGGUAUAAGUGAGAUUGACGAAUGAUGAACUAGUAUAAAUUUCUUUGGAAAACUCAUUUGAGACUCGUUCCUACUGUAAUUAGUUAUUAAGUCAAGUAACUAGUUACAUAUAAUUAUUUAUAUCGUGUAACCGGUUACAUAUGAUUAUAACUAUUAUAACUAGUUAUUAACGCGGUCCUCACUAAAGAACGCAAGCGAAGUGCAAUUUUGCAUUUUCUUAUGCGUCUUCAUCUGGAGUACGAACAAGUCCGAUCUACCAUUGUUAGCUCGGAUGUUACUGAUAUGGAGAAAAUCUUGGGAGACCUAAUUCGCACGAAAACGCGAUUCAAGACACAAGCACAGAUCGAUCGCCAUGAGACGGCUGCCCUAGCUUUUGCAGCCGUCACUAAUCGAUUUCAGAAUGUGCGCAAUACCUCUUCUUCCCAGGUCACGACUCCCGAAACUACCGUCGCGUCCGGUGAUGCCUUCUAUCGCCAUUGCAACAUUAAGGGCCACACCACCUCGCAUUGCCGCAAACGUAACUUAUGCAAUUAUUGUAAAACACAGGGCCACAUCAUUCUCGAUUGUCCUAGUUUGAAAAACAAAACGGCUAAGUCUUCCGGUCGAGCUGCUUACUCUGCUGCUAUCGAAACCAUCGCUGACCACUCGACUGCUUCGGAUGGGUCGGCUCCUUUAAAUGCUGCUUCCAUCGAAGCACUAGUUGCUUCUGCUCUCCAAAAAUUGCUGCCCAACUCUAUCAACUCAGCCUUUGGUACUAUCGACCCAUCAAAUAAUUCUUGGUACAUUGAUUAUGGUGCUUAUAAUCAUAUGACUAGGGAUAAGUCUCUUUUACAUACUUAUUCUCCAACGAAAAAUAUGGAUAUUCGUGUGGCUAGUGGUGAAGUUAUUCCUAUGGCUGGUCAUGGGUCAAUUUCAUUGCCUCGGAUUUCUCUUGAUCGAGUUCUUCAUGUGCCUCUUCUAGCUCCAAAUUUGCUCUCCCUUGGUCAACUUACUUAUAAUCGAUGUGGUGUGAUGUUUGGCUCUUCUGGAUGUUCUGUGCAGGACCUACGAACCCAAAAGGAGAUAGAGAGCGGGAGUAAAUGUGGCCGCACCUUCCGUCUUCGCCAUCUUGACUCUGUUCCACUACUGCUCGUUCCAAGAGAUCAUGGAAGAGUUCUCGAUGGAUAUUCAGUAGAGCCUGCAGCGAUUCAGACUUGGCGGAUAUGGCAUUCACGUUUGGGGCACCCACAUUCUGGAUGUUUACAAUCUAUGUUUCUGGAUAAUUUGUUGCUAGUUAGUAUUCGGUUAAGAGAACAAUCUAUUCCACAUUGUACUAGUUCUAUUGAGACGAAGACAGUUAAACAAUCCUUUUCGAGUAGUACUAAUGAGAUUACAGAACCAUUUCAUCUUGUUCACAUUGAUAUAUGGGACAAUCCUUUUCGAGUAGUACUAAUGAGAUUACAGAACCAUUUCAUCUUGUUCACAUUGAUAUAUGGGGCACUGCUCCAGUUGUUUCGAGAUUGGGAUAUUGAUACUUUGCUCUCUUCAUUGAUCAUGCCACUCGUUACACAUGAGCUUACCUCUUGCGCUUCAAAUCUGAAUUACUUCAAGCUGCCCAAUAAUUUGUACAGAUGAUACAAACACAAUUUCAUAAGAUGGUGCGCAUCUUUCGAUUGGACCCUAGAGGAGAAUUCGGUUCUACCUCUCUCCAUCAGUUCUAUAAGGAUCACGGCAUCCUAUAUCAAAUGUCGUGUCCAUGAGUUUCCGAGCAGAAUGGCCUUGUUGAGCGUAAGCAUCGCCACGUGCCUUGCUCCUUGAAUCUCAUGUUCCCACUAGUUUCUAGCAAAAAGCAGUCCACACUAUUGUAUAUCUUAUUAAUCGACAGACUACUCCUACCCUACAAAACAUGUCACCUUAUGACGCUCUUCACCAUCGAUAGCUUGAUUAUAGACGUCUUCGGGUGUUUGGUUGUGUGUGCCUUGUUUUAUUGCCUCCUCGUGAACGAACCAAACUCACUACAAAAACUGUGUGAUGUGUCUUUUUGGUUUAUAGUGACAUUCAUAAAGGAUACAUGUGUUAUGAUCCUGAUCUUUACAGAAUGCGCAUUGCUUAUAAUGUAUUGUUUCUUAAGGAUCAGUGCUACUAUGCUACACUUCCACCUUUGGUUCCUCCUUCGGCUCUGUCACUUGAUCAUAUUCUCGAUGAACCUCCAACUGAAGAACCAAAUGACUUGCCAACGGCGAGUUCUUUAGAUCAUGUGAUACCGUCAAUAUCUCCUCCUUUGACACCCUCAUCGUCGGCGCCACUUGGUCUCCGCAAAUCAACCCGGCCGACUUUUGGAUAGGUACCAUCUCACUUCAAUGACUAUGUCACAUAUGCUGUUGAUCCUGUUGCUAUACCUGUCAAUUAUCAAGAGGCAGUACAGUAUCAACAUUGGGGUGAUGCGAUGGCCAAGGAAUUGAGAGCACUAGCCGAGAACAACACUUGGGAGUUGGUACCUAGGUCAUGCAAUGCUUCUAUUAUAGGAAGCCGGUGGGUCUACACCAUCAAAUAUCAUCCUGAUGGCAUGGUCGACCGGUACAAAGCUUGCCUUGUCGCUCAGGGAUAUCGACAGGAGUGGGGGAUUGAUUAUGAAGAGACCUUUGCUCCCGUGGCCAAAACGCAAAUGGUUCGCACUCUCUUGGUUGUUGCCUCUACCAAGAGAUGGCCUCUUUGUCAUGGCAACUUGAAGGAAACAGUCUACAUGAUGUGUCCGCCCGGGUACACAGCUCCCUCACCAAGUCACGUUUGCUUGCUUAAACGCUCUUUAUACGGGCUCAAACAAGCUCCACGAGUGUGGUUUGAGAUGUUCCAGGAUACUAUUUUACAUGGUGGUUUUAUACAAAGUCGUAAUGCCCCAUCAUUGUUUACAAAGUCCACUGAACAAGGUAUUACUAUUCUACUCAUUUAUGUAGACGAUAUGAUUCUCACAGGAAGUGAUGAGAUAGGUAUUGCGGCAAUUGAAGACAUCCUGCGAAAGAAUUUUAAACUGAAGGAACUUGGUGAAUUAAGCUACUUCCUUGGUUUGGAAAUCAACCGCAGUGACCAAGGAAUCUUUGUCUCACAACGAAAAUACAUCUCUUAUCUACUUUUGAUGGCACGACACGAGAAUAGUAAGCCAAUGAGUACUCCUGUUGAACUCAAUAUUAAGAUGAGUAAGGACGUGGGUGACCCAAUUUCAGACCCGACAUUCUAUCGCAAAAUAGUCGAGAGCUUGAUUUACUUGACUUCCACGCGGCCAAACUUGUCUUAUGCGGUGCAAAUUAUGAGCCAGUAUAUGGCAUCGCCUCGUCACCCACAUCUCCAGGCUAUAUACCGCAUUCUGCGGUACCUCCAAGGUACACGUGAUCUCAGUAUGUGGUUUCCCUCAGAGGGUCCGGCGAAGUUAGAGGCGUUUGCUGAUGCAGAUUAUGCUAGAUGCAUAGACAUGAGAAGGUCUACAUCCGGGUGGUGUAUCAGGUUUGGUCACUCUUUCAUAUCGUGGCGAUGUCGGAAGCAGGACAAGGUCUCCAAAUCAUCUAUCGAAGCAAAGUACCGGUACAUUUCAGAAGUCUGCUCCGAGGUUGUUUGGCUCCCACGUCUCAUUGCUGAAUUGGGAGUUCAAGUCUCAAAUUCGGUCAAAUUAUAUGCAGACAACACCAACACGAUCAGCAUUGCUACAUUUCCUGUCCUACAUGAUCGGAUGAAACAUUUUGAGAUACAUCUACAUUAUAUUCGAGACCUAGUUCGUGAUAAUACAGUCAGACUCAGUUAUAUCAUAUUAGAGGAUCAAACGGCAGAUUUGUUUACUAAAGUCGUUCCUACAAGUCGGCACUGGUUUUAUCAUCCAAAUUAAUGUUGAGAAUUCAUCAUCAAUUUGCGGGAGGCUCUCGAAAGAAGACCUAUUAUAUUGUAAAUAGGAAUUGUUAAUAUUUAUUCCUUUUUUGGUUACGAUUAACUUGACCCAAAACCCUUUAAAUAUUUGAAGAUUGUAGCCUACUAAACUCAAGCAAUACAGAAAAUUUUCUCUACUGCAUUUCUCGUCUUCUUCAUUCUUCUAUUAUUCUGCUCAUCUUUCUCGAGUUUACAUCGAUCUUUUCAAAAUCCACUGUUAUCCACUUGAAUGUUAUAAAUGGAUCGCCUUUGUGGAAAUAUUGGAAGUUACCGUUAUGUGGUCUACUGCCAAUCUUCUUUUCCACAAAGUUCAGUUUCCAUGAAUAACAUUUGGUUGCCGUCGAAUGCUAAAUUCUGUAUUUCAUCUAGUAACUCGAAUUCAGAUUAAUUAUUGAGACGUUCCCACUGAACAAUUUCCAGUAUUCAUAGUGCUUUGGGAGGCUAAUAAACAUCAGUAAUGUGACUUCCCUUUGGAUGUUUCACAUGCAGCAGCAAUGGCGACUUCCCUAUUCAGAAAUGCUUCAACAGUUCUUCCGCUGAAGCUUUUCACCUCGAGGAGAUUCUGCAACAGCAUUGCUUCUCAGUCUUGUCUUCAGCUCCGGCCAUUUUCCAACUUGGACUCCCUUGUUUCUCUUUUGAUUGCUGCUGUAACUUCGUGUGCAUCGGUCCCUCACUGCCAAGCGCUUCAUUGCAAGGUAAUGAAAUCCGUGAAUUACAGCCAUGGGUUCAUUGGUGAUCAGUUAGUCUCUGCUUAUGUAAGAUUGGGUUCCAUAGGAGACGCACAUAACCUGUUCGACGAAUUGCCUGACAAAGACUCUGCCUCGUGGAAUUCAGUCAUGUCUAGCUUCUCUCGCCGUGGGGAUCUGGCUAAUUGUUUGACUGCCUUCUUCUUCAUGAAACUUGAAACGGAUGUUGAACCGAAUGAUGGCUCUAUUGUUCCAUUAAUUUCCGCCUGCACUGCAACUGGAACUAUGGGUAUUGGCUCCUAUAUUCAUGGGUUUGCAUUAAAGUUUGGAAUGCUUUUGGAGCUGAAAGUUGCUAAUGCAUUAGUUAACAUGUAUGGAAAGUCUGGAUACUUGGAUGCAGCCACUAGAUUGUUCCAGGCAAUUCCAGUUCCGAAUUUGGUAUCCUGGAACUCGGUAAUCGCCGUUCAUGUUCAAAUCGGGUCAGCUGAUGAAGGGAUCGUUCAUUUUAUCCGUUUAAGAAGAGCAGGGAUUGAACCUGAUCAAGCCACAAUUUUAACGGUGGGGGGAGCACAUAGCCUGGACUGCCAUGAUUGCAAGUUAUGGCAUUCAUGGUAUUGGGAAGGAAGCUGUCAAAACUUUUGAGCUGAUGAUCAGUGAGGGUGUGGCGCCUGAUCAUGUUACUUUCACCCACUUGUUGAGUUCUUGCAGCCAUGCAGGGCUCCUGCAGGUAGGUAAGAGCUACUUCGAACUCAUGUCAUCAUACUAUGGAGUUGAGCCGAUGAUCGAUCACUAUUCAUGCAUGGUCGACCUCUUGGGCCGAGCUGGAUUUCUGAACGAUGCUUACCAGCUCAUUAGAACCAUGCCAAUGAAGCCAAAUUCUGGUGUUUGGGGAGCUCUAAUGGGUGCUUGCAGGAAACAUGGCAACAUUGAGCUUGGGAAGGAAGUGUUUGACAACUUGUUUGCUUUAGACCCAUCAGACUCCAGAAACUACAUCUCCUUAUCAAAUAUGUACGCUGCUGCUGGUCUUCUGAACGAAGCUUCCAAGGUGAGGUCACUUAUGAAGGAAACAAGUGUGGUCCAGAACCCAGGUUCAAGUUCCAUAGAACAUGGAAACAAGAUUAAUGUAUUUGUUUCAGGUGAUCAAUCUCAUCCUCUGAGAGAAGAGAUAUAUAACAAGUUGGAAGAAAUUAUUCGCAAGAUCCGGGGAAAUGGGAUAUCGGCAAAGACAGAGCUCGUACUACAGGAUAUUGAUGAUGAGGAGGUGAAAGAGGAGAUGAUCAACAAACACAGUGAAAAGCUAGCCAUUGCAUUUGGGCUCCUGGUGAAUGGUCAAAAUGCAAUGCCUCUGGUUAUAACCAAGAACCUGAGGAUAUGUGGCGACUGUCAUAACUUUGCUAAGGUGGUGUCGGGGAUGGAGGAUCGCGAGAUUAUUGUCCGAGAUACAAAGCGAUUUCACCACUUCGCCAAUGGAUUAUGCUCUUGCAGAGACUACUGGUAAAAUCACUCUGAGCUUGUAUCUUGAAUUGCGGAGACUUUUGGGCUUUUGCCCCCCAAAGAAAUUAUACUAUGGACAAAUCAAGAGUUAAAGUCAAUCUAUGUUCACUGUGACUCAUCUUUCUGGGUUUUGAAUAGAGGAGUUGGUGGGUUGGGUUGGGUUGAUGCUGAAUCAAACGGGUGACCGUUUCAUGGACUUUUCAUUGGUUUCAGGCUCAUGUGUAUAGCUCAAGUCAAGGUGUGCAUCCUUCCUAACAAACUACGAUGUGAAUUACUCACUCAAAGUGAAUUUUGGAAAUGGUCAAUAUGAUCUCCCAGCUUGGUCUAUCAGCAAUCAGCAUACUGCCUGAUUACAAAACAGAAGUUUACAACACGGCAAAGGUGAGGAGUAGAAAGGAAAUGAAAAUGGGGGAUACUUUCGCUCGGCAUUGAUUGACAGGAAUUCAAUGUUAUAACUUCCGUGUUGGUUAUAUGUCAAAACAAAGUAGGUUUCGGCUCCAAGACCGCACAAGAAGAUGACUCAUCUGGGCGGAUUUACAUGAGACUCGUACAUCUGACUAAGUUGCUCCUGGUUUUGCCAGUGAUACAACUACCCAGAAUGGGUUGUGCGAGAAGCUAUACAUGACCAAAGAUUCUUCAGAUCACCUCCGGUAUAUAUAACCAAUCAGCAGCUCACUUUAGUUGUUUCAUGGAAUGUUCUGCUUGCUUCCUGACCUUUGGUUUCAUAUUUUGUGUCUUCCUAGUUUGGUUUCAUUUGUUACCUUCGUGGUUACAUAAUUCAGCUCUGAAUCCAAUCUUCCUUCAACAGGUCGGUCUGCAAGGUGAAAAAUUGCAGCUUAACUGGAAGUUCAUCAGUUGAAUGAGUAAAAGGAUCACUGUUAGCUCAAAAGUAGCCAUUAACAAGGUACAAGGUAAUUAUAUGAUCAGAGCUGAAUUAUGUAAAGGGAUCACUGUUAGCUCAAAAGCAGCCAUACACAAGUCAACUUUCCAAUGUGCCGAAGGGAAUGAGCCAGAAGCUCUGGAUAUGAUCAGCAUGGUAAAGGGCCAGAUAUGGAUUAAUGGUCAGGGAAUAACUCGUCUGUAAUAAAAUUACAGAUAAACAAUUAUCUUACAAAAGGUAUUCCAUUGCUAUAUGAAGAUAUACACAGGGGUGUUUAACUAAAUGAAAGUUGCAGGUUUUGCUUCUCGUCUGUAACCAAACUGAUGAAGUGAUGAACACCAGCUCUUCUGUUGUAUUCAGUUUCUUUUUGAAAAGAAAAGUUUCUAGUCACGCCUUCUUAGACAAACGUGUCAGAGGCCAAUAAUCGACCAAUCACAGAAAGUCAUUUGUUUAUGGAAAAAGUAUGUUUCAGCUGCCAAAUAUGGCCUACUUGAACCCAGGUUUGAGACUGUAUCAUUAGUAUUGAUGACCUUACUUGAUACUUGAUUCUGCACUGAAGACAAUGCCCCAAGAUAUUGGCAAACAGCAUCUUGAAUAAUUGUCUUAAUGAGUCUCCGAGUAUUCCCACUGUCGUUCAAAUUAUGGCAGUGCUGAAGAUGAAUCCUCAUGCUGCGAUAGAUUUGUUAGUUAGGAUGCUGGACAUCUUUUCUCCGCAUAUGCACUUGGGGACUGACCAUCUUGCCAAUCGAGAGCAAUUAUGAGGGACUUGCACACCUCCUGACAUCAACUUCUUUGAUUUCGUUUUCAAACAGUGCAUCACUUUAGUAAUUAAGCAUUCCUUUAUUGCGGCAUUCUUAGUUUUUGGAUAUCCUCUAAAAAUAUCGUCUUUACCUUCUGAAUAGAUAUUUAGGUCUUACCGCUUUCUAAGUGUCUCCACAAGAAGCUAAUUGAGAAAAAAAAACAUAAAGACUCAGACUGAUGACCAUGCAACUAAACUUCAACGUCUUCACCAAUGCACCACAAAUUUUGGCUGGAUGAGGCGGCCUACAUCUCCAUAUCUCAUCAGACGCACUGCAUGAAAAGAGUGAAACACAACAUUUUUCCCCCUUUUCCAUGUUUAACGCGUGCAGACAACAAUGCAUUUGCAUUUGGGUUGUGGAAAAAGAGCAAGAGUGAAUUAGCCUUCCACAUGUAGCCUUGAGAUUGGUCAUGUAAUUGGAUAAUAAAAACAGAAGACAAUUCCUUAAUUCAAAGGUAUGUAACGGUUCUAAUUUGUGUAUAAUUUAACUUUAAUUGACACCAAAAUAUCAAAUUCCAAACGGUUAACGGAUAUUAUUUUUCUUCUAUAAAAAGAUUUGCUCUUUUUGUCGAUGAAUAGUUGAUAGUACAACUCAUUCUAUCAAAAGUUAGAUGAAUAGUUAAUGACACAACUCAUUUUAUGAAAAGUUGGAUGAAUGUAUGAAAAAUAGUGACUAAUUAUGGUGGUUGCGUAAAUAAUUAUGUCAAAAUUAGUGACAAAAAAUAUUUAUAUCAAAAUAACGAAAUUUUUAUUUUAAUUAAUCAUUAAUACCUAUAUAAAAAUUGUUAGCAAAUUUUCUAAUUAAAAUGACGAAAUCAACAUUAUACUUGAUUUGGACGAAAAAUGAAAUAGUCAUAGCCAAAUUUAGUUCUUGCAUCAUUAAAGCAAAACCAGAAUUAUCAAAGCCAAAAUUGUCAAAUUUUAGCUUUUGUUAUGGAUGGGGUUUUUUAAAAAAAAAAUAAAAUGGAUGGGCUUAUUAAAAGAAAUAUAAAGUUGGAGGAAAUGCACGAGUGCACUCACCUGACUUAAAUGAAGGGAAAAUGAACCAAACUGUCACAAACUAUCAACUUUUUACUAAUUUAUAUAUAAUUUAUGCGUAAUUUAGUGUAUGUCACGAUCUAUUGAGGCCGUUUACGAAUAUAGCACGCCGUCAAAUUUUAAUGUUAGUCUGCUUACAUGGUAUUGACAGAAUUUACUGACUAUACCAACCAAUUUAGUUGAACACAAAAAUUCAAUUUUUUAUAUAAAUAAACAUAAUAUAAAUCAAAACCCCAAUUUUUAUUAGAAAUAAACAUAAUAUAAAUCAAAACCCCAAUUUUUGUUAGAAAUAAACAUAAUAUAAAUCUAGUCAGCUUUCAUUAGACAUUUACCAGCGAGCAUUGGUCUUCUCCGAAUUUAUACGAGCUGAGAUUAUUCGACAACAAGCUCGCCGGUGAACUCGCCGCUAAGCUGGCUCGACGUCUCCAACAAUCUCUUCACUGGUCCACUCCUGUCGGCGCUCUGCUUUAAAGGGGAACUCGAGGAGCUUCUCGCGAUAUACAACUCCAUCUCUGGCGGGCUCCUGUAUCAAAUCAGAGAGAAAAGAGAUGGAAAUGGUGUGCACAAGCUCGUAGCACAGCCAUGGACGAGUUCUUAUUUAUAUAUACAGAACAACGAUAAAAACCGAAAUUACACUGUUUACCCAACGGUAACAAAAACAGUAAACGAUAAGCGUAAACGCAGCGUAUUGACUAACACAUUAAACAAUUGACUAACGGACUAACGGCUCCAUAACGCCGUUGCAUAAAUCCUUCCUUCUUAUUCUGUUAGCAUCGUCAACUACAGGAACAGCUCCAGGAAUAGCUGCUGCAGUAUGCAGUUCCUUCAGCAGCUCCUUCUUCAUUCUCAAUAUGCCCCCACAAGUUGAGGAGUAUAUAUCAAUAACUCCCAACUUGGCAAUCAGGAAUCUCAGUCGAACCCGAUGCAUCCCUUUCGUGAACAAAUCAGCUGGUUGAAACUCAGUUCCAACAUGAAACAACUUCAACAGUCCACACUUCACACGAUCUCUGACCAUAUGACAAUCAAUCUCUAUAUGCUUCGUCCUUUCAUGAAAAAUAGGAUUUUUUAUGCUAUGUGUAUAGCUGAUCGAUUAUCACAAUAAACCGAUACUGGGGUGGAGAUGAACACCCUCAACUCUGCAAGAAGCAGCUUCAACCAAUCAAUCUCACAGGAUAGAUGUGCAAGAGCCCUGUAUUCAGCUUCUGAAGAGGAUCUGGACACAGUACUCUGCUUCUUCGAUUUCCAUGUGAGAAUUGUAGUUCCUAAGAAUGUGCAAUACCAUGUAACAGAACGUCGAGUAUUUGGACAAGACGCCCAAUCUGAAUCACUGUAACCAGAGAGCACAAGGUCAUUAUGUGCUGAAUAGAAUAACCCUUGUGUUGAUGCUAACUUAAGAUACUGUAGCACCAUGUAGGCUGCAUGCAAAUGUAUGUCAGUGGGUUGUGCCUGAUAUUGACUUAAUUGUUGAACUGGAAAAGCUAGAUCUGGUCAUGUAAUGGUCAGAUAAUGGAGCCUUCCUAUCAGCCUUAUAUACACAUCUGGUUCUGUUAAUCUAACUCCCUGACUAGCUGAGAGUUUUGAACUAAACUCCAUAGGAGUAUGUGAUGGCUUAGCCUCAAGAUAGCCUGUAUCUUUUAACAACUCAAAACAAUACUUCCUUUGUGAAACUGUAAUCCCUUUAUCAGAACGAGCAACUUCUAGACCAAGGAAAUAUUUCAAAUCCCCCAAAUCCUUAAUCUUGAACUGAAUUUUAAGGAAUGAUUUGACUUUCUCCAACUCCCUCACAUCAUCUCCUACAAGAAUAAUGUCAUCUACAUAGACCAAAAGAGAGGUGGUACUGCUCUCAGAGUGCUUAAGAAAAAGAGAGUGAUCUGAAGCAGACUGAGUGAAACCAUUAUGCAGCAAAGAUUCGUCAAUUUCGCAAACCACUGUCUACUUGCUUGCUUAAGUCCAUACAACGACUUCCUAAGCUUGCAAACAGACCCAGGUGGUGCCUUCAAACCCAACGGAACUUCCAUAUAGACAUCUUCUUCUAAAUCUCCAUGCAAAAAGACAUUUGACACAUUCAUCUGAUGUAACUCCCAAUUCCUCACUACUGCAACUGCAAGUAGAGUUUUCACAACGUAUCCAGGAAAUCAAUUUCAUAGGUUUGAGUAUAGCCUUUUGCUACAAGUCUUGCUUUGUACCGUUCCACUGCCCCAUCAGGUUUGUAUUUUAUUUUAAAUACCCAUUUACUACCAACAACCUUCUGCCCAAAGGGCUUAGGCACAAUGUCCCAAGUAUGAUUUUCCUGUAAAGCUCCCAAUUCCUCCUUUGUGGCAAGGUCCCAACAUGGUUCUUUAACAGCUUCAUAAUAUGUGUCAUGUUUUUUUAAGUAAUGAUGCUAAGGGUAAAGGCUCUAUAGACUGGAGAAAGAUUAUCAUAGGUGAUAGUGUUUAGAAAUAGGAUGUUUGGAAUAAUGAGAUACAGAAGCAGCAUUAAGAUGGAAAUCUUGAAGGUAGGUGGGUAAGAAUUUGAUUCGAUUAGAACGUCUAGGUAUUGAUUAUGGUUCUGGUUUAGGAGGAAGACUGGAAGGUAAUUCUGAAUCAGAGUCAAAUGGUUCUGGUUCAGGAGGUAGUUCUGGUUCAGUGUAAGAGGAAGGAGAAUUGAGAGAUGGUGACGGUUGAUUAGGAGGUGAUGAUAUUUGUGUGUAAGGCUUAGUUGAUCGAGGAGGAUGUGUUUCUGGAUGUAUAGGUGAAAGAAGAGGAAGGGAAAGAGAUGAUGCUUGUCCUCCCUCAAGCUCUGCAGGAGGAACCUCAGUAGAGUUUGGGAAUCUCACCAGAGUUUGGAAAAUGCAUAGAGGAAGUGUGAAAAGGUAAAAUAGUUUCAUGAAAUCUUACAUCUCUAGAAACAAAGAAAUGGUGAGAUUGAAGAUCAUAGAGCUUGUAACCCUUAAUGCCAAUAGGAUAUCCAAGAAAAACACAUUGUCUCACCCUAGAUUGGAACUUAGUUCUGUUGUGUGUUAGUGUGGCUGCAUAAGCAAGACUGCCAAAUACCCGUAGGUGAUCAAGACGUAGAGCAGUACCAUAGAGCAGUUCAUAGGGAGUUUUGUUAUCAAUAGCUGUACUAGGCUGCCUAUUUAGCAGGUGAACGACAUGAACUACAAAAUCACUCCAAAAGAACAAGGAAAGACCAGACUGAAAUCAGAGCGCUCUUGCGAUGUUUAAGAUGUCCUGGUGUUUCCUUUCAACACAAGCAUUUUGCUCAGGAGUAGCAACACAACUAAUUUCAUGCAGUAUACCAUGCUUGGCAUAGUAAUCCACCAUGUGGAAUUCUGCACCUUGAUCACUACGAAUAACACAAACUGGACAGUCAAACUGAGUACGCACAAACUGACAGAAAUCUUCCAACCGAUUUCUCGCCUCAGAUUUGUGUUUCAGCAAGUACAACCAAACCCCAUGAGAGUAAUCAUCCACCACAGUAAGAAAGUACGCAAAACCAUCAUGAGAUUUAACAGAUAAUGGACCUCAAAUGCCAACAUGAUCAGCUCAAAGGCUUUACUAGCACGUUUUUCACUAGGCAUAAAAGGGAGUCUCUUAUGUUUAGCAAAGUGACAAGUUUCAUAGUGUUUUAUUGUUUCUUUGAUAUGACCAACAUUACAAGAAUCAAAGGAUUGAAUACGAGAGUUGCUGGGAUGUCCAAGGCGCCAGUGCCACAAAUGGAUAGGUUGAGGCUGGAAAUUGUAAAUGGUAGCCAUAAUAGAACUAUGUGAAGGAACUUGAGAGGGAAGGAGCUUAUAUAAACCUCUAAUCUGGUUAGCCAAACCAAGAGUCGUCAUGGAAGUAUGGUCCUGAAUGGAACAAGAUUCAGAACGGAAUAUCAAAGAAAUAUUGUGGCCACUGGUCAACUUGCUGAUAGAAAUGAAGUUAAAAGCAAAACUAGGAACACAGAGGACAUGUGUGAGAGUAAGAUUAGAUGAGAGACGAACAGUUCCAACAUGACUGACAGAAACUUUUGUGGAAUUUGGGAGGUAGACAAAAACAUUUAUGACGGCUUGAGACUCAAUGAAAUCCAAAAGGGAUAUCCGAGUGCUGCAGCUUGACCCGGGUCCGAUUAGGCUACAACGUAACAUACUUUCCAACGAGCUUCCAGUCAAUUUAUGGGGAUUGCCUCACGUUUCUCCGGUCAAUCUUGUCAGCAGCUCUUUCUCCGGCGAAAUCGAGAAACUGGAUCUCCACGACAAUCAACUCUCUGGCGACAUUCCACAAGGAAUCGACUCAUGGAAGAAGAUGAACAAGCUUAAUUUGGGUGAGAAUCGAUUUUCCGGUGAAAUCCCUAGCUCAAUCGAGAAUCGAUUAAUCCAACAACAAACUCUCCUUAGAAGUUUAUACUUGCAGCAGUAGUGUUUAUAGUAGGAGUUGUUUUGGUUCUAUGUCAAAUACAAGAACAUCGACGAGGUUACGAAAUCGGCGGCGGUUGAGGUGAUGAUGAUGGCGGCGGGUGAGUGAGGUUGCUCCGUGAGGUUGAAGAAAAGGGACAACGAAUUAGGGUGAAUAAAAGAAGAAAUUGGGUUUAUUUAUUUAUUUUUUAUGUUUAUUUUAAUGUAUUAUUAAAAAAUAUUAUAUAAGCGGUCAACUAGAUUGGUAGAUACCGUUAGCGAACUCCAUUAAUGCCACAUAAGCAGACUAACGUUAAAAAUUAAGGUUGUUAUAUAUUCAUAAACGGAUUCAAGGUCAUGAUAUUUACUAAAUUAUGCAUAGGGCUUGUAUAAAUUGGUAAAACGCUGAUACUUCGUGACAUUUUAGGUCUUUUUUAAAAUGAACGGUUGUGAUUUAUUCUUAGAGAUCUGACGGAUAUAAACUGAUAUGUGAGAUUUAGAAAUGGACGGCUGAAAUCUACGCUCAAGAUCUGAUGGUUGAUAAAUCAUUUCCAUCAGAGCCUUCCAGAAAAGGCCGCCACUCACAUCAAGUUUUCCCUAUCUUUUUUAUUUUAAUAAAAUUUGAUUUUAAUAAUUUUUACCUUAAAAUUUUUUAAAAAAAAAUAGUAUUUCAUAGACAAUUAAAACAAGCAUAAUCAUGAUAUGAUUUUGACGAAAUUUUUUUUUCCGAGGUCAAAACUAUACUUCAUAGGUACACCAACUUAAAGGUUUCAAUGAAGUUUUUCUCAAAAUCAAACACGUAAGUUGACUGCCUCAAAACUAAAUUUCAUAGGUAUCAUCAACUUAGAGAUUAUUUCAAAUAUCAUCAACUUAGAGGUUAUUUCAAAUAUCACAAACUUAGAGGUUCCGAUAAUACCUAUGUCUCUACUUUUAUAGAGAGAACAAUCCAUAAUUUAAUAUACGAUAACAACUUCAAAAAACUCUAUCAUUUAGUGUUACAUUACAUUCGAUUAAUUAAGUAAUAAUGGUUAGGUUGGUUGAAAAAUAGUAAAAUACGCGAUGAUGUAAUUGUGUUUCAAAAAACUAUAAACUUAUGUAAGCCAUGAUGAACAAACUCCUCAUCUCCGAAUUUCUCGCAUGGUCAUCCAUGUCCCUUGGGCCCCACUGCCUCACAAAACGACGUCGCCCUAUCCCUCUCGAAAUUAAAUUGACUUGUCUGGAUAGUAUAGUUUGUUUGUAUGAAGCUAAGCCAAAACUCAAAAGCGAAGAUCAAUCACAAUCCAGAAAAACUUUGGGGACCUCCUCAAAGAUGAUAAUUAUCUUUGGAUAUUUUAAAUAUUAAAUUCUAAGUCUCAAACAUUAUAUCAUAAAAUUAAAUUUUUAAUCAUACUUGAAAUUCUGAUUUUUAUCAUAAAUUUAAAUUAAUCAAUUAUAAAAUUCUUAAUUAGACUCUAAACACUUAUCACUGUAUUCUAAACCGUAAACACUAAAUAAGAAUCUCAAAACUUUUAGUUUUAAAAUAAUGAUGACCUUUUCUGGAAGGCUCUGUGGAUAUGAUUUAUCCACCGUCAGAUCUUGAGCAUAGAUAUCAUCCAUCCAUUCUAGAUCUCAAACGGCAGCUUAUAAUCAUUAGAUCUCCAAAAUAAAUCUCAACCGUUCAUUUAAGUCAGCCGACUGCACCCGUGCAUUUCCUUUUGCUUUAACUUUCAUUUUAAAAUUAUAUCAUGAUUAUACUUGUUUUAAUCGUCUCUGAAAUAUUAAGAUUUUAACACAAAAGUUAUUCAAAUUCGAGUUCAUACGUAAAGUAUAUUAAUUAAAUAAGAAAGUUAUGAGAAACUGGUUGCGGGUGGUAGCCUUUUCUGAAAGGUUUUGAUGGAGAUGAUUUAUCGACCGUCAGAUCUUGAGCGUAAAUAUCAACCGUCCAUUCAAGAUCUCACACAAUAACUUAUAACCGUCAAAUCACCAAAACAAAUCUCAACUGUUCAUUUAAAUCAGGCGAAUGCACCAUAUAUUUUCACCCACUUUAAUUUUAUUUUAAUAUAGCAAAAAUAUGAUAGAAUGUAAUAUAUAUAUAUCAAAUUUUUUCCUUAGUAGUUUGUACGAACGACCCAAUUGUCUUUUUCAUCAAGUGGCGUGCAAUGGCAUUGAGAGAAUGACUUGUUUAAUUAAUUACCAAAGUAAUUCGCUUUAUGUUGGGAGAGAGUGGGGAUUGGAUGUGAGCCAUACCUAUGUUAUCCAAAAGUGAUUAAUAGAACAAAUAAAAAUUAUUAAUAGGCAUUCCCUAUCAUAAUUUAUUUUAAUUUAAAAUAAGUUAAUUUUGAAUUUAUCUAAAAAAGAUUGUUAUUACAUAAAUGCCUUUAUUUUUAUGUUACAGGCUUAAUUAUAUAUAUGUUACUUAAGGAACAACUGUUGUUACGUUAAGUCUUACGUAACAAUCUUUACUUUUAAAUGAAAAGCUUAAUUUUGCCUAUUACCUAUAGAACAACUAUCGUUACGUAAGCUAGCGCUUUACGUAACAUACCUAAUUUUAACUGUUACGUAAGGAAUAAUUUUCGUUACGUAAAACUUAUAUAACGAUUAUUAUUUCUUAACAAACUCAAAGUAACCUUAUUUCGAAACAAAUUAUUAUGAUAGAAAAUGCCUAACUCGUAUAGUGGUUAAAUGAAAAAAGAAAGAUCUCUACAUCAGGCAUGUAAUGUUGUUGGCCAAGUUGCUGGGUGGACCAAAACCUUAUCCAUUGAGGCUUGCUAGUCCCUUCUUAACAGUCAAUUACUUUUUGCUGCUUUAGGCGUUUGAAUAUCUUCGUAACCGAUAUAUGAUAUUUAAAAUUUUGCUCAUUUAUUUAUUUAUUUGUUUANNNNNNNNNNNNNNNNNNNNNNNNNNNNNNNNNNNAGACUAAAUAAUUUAUUAAAUUCAAAUUUAUAAGCAACCUAUUAGUAAGUAACCAUAAUAAAUUUAAUUCAACAAAUUUAAAUAUACAAAAAGAAGAUUGCUGAUAGCACAUAUAAUUUUGUUUUAACUAAAAAUAUUAUAAAUAUUUUUUNNNNNNNNNNNNNNNNNNNNNNNNNNNNNNNNNNNNNNNNNNNNNNNNNNNNNNNNNNNNNNNNNNNNNNNNNNNNNNNNNNNNNNNNNNNNNNNNNNNNNNNNNNNNNNNNNNNNNNNNNNNNNNNNNNNNNNNNNNNNNNNNNNNNNNNNNNNNNNNNNNNNNNNNNNNNNNNNNNNNNNNNNNNNNNNNNNNNNNNNNNNNNNNNNNNNNNNNNNNNNNNNNNNNNNNNNNNNNNNNNNNNNNNNNNNNNNNNNNNNNNNNNNNNNNNNNNNNNNNNNNNNNNNNNNNNNNNNNNNNNNNNNNNNNNNNNNNNNNNNNNNNNNNNNNNNNNNNNNNNNNNNNNNNNNNNNNNNNNNNNNNNNNNNNNNNNNNNNNNNNNNNNNNNNNNNNNNNNNNNNNNNNNNNNNNNNNNNNNNNNNNNNNNNNNNNNNNNNNNNNNNNNNNNNNNNNNNNNNNNNNNNNNNNNNNNNNNNNNNNNNNNNNNNNNNNNNNNNNNNNNNNNNNNNNNNNNNNNNNNNNNNNNNNNNNNNNNNNNNNNNNNNNNNNNNNNNNNNNNNNNNNNNNNNNNNNNNNNNNNNNNNNNNNNNNNNNNNNNNNNNNNNNNNNNNNNNNNNNNNNNNNNNNNNNNNNNNNNNNNNNNNNNNNNNNNNNNNNNNNNNNNNNNNNNNNNNNNNNNNNNNNNNNNNNNNNNNNNNNNNNNNNNNNNNNNNNNNNNNNNNNNNNNNNNNNNNNNNNNNNNNNNNNNNNNNNNNNNNNNNNNNNNNNNNNNNNNNNNNNNNNNNNNNNNNNNNNNNNNNNNNNNNNNNNNNNNNNNNNNNNNNNNNNNNNNNNNNNNNNNNNNNNNNNNNNNNNNNNNNNNNNNNNNNNNNNNNNNNNNNNNNNNNNNNNNNNNNNNNNNNNNNNNNNNNNNNNNNNNNNNNNNNNNNNNNNNNNNNNNNNNNNNNNNNNNNNNNNNNNNNNNNNNNNNNNNNNNNNNNNNNNNNNNNNNNNNNNNNNNNNNNNNNNNNNNNNNNNNNNNNNNNNNNNNNNNUUCAGUCCAAUCCAAAAAGGCGAAGAUUCCAUUGAAUAUUCCUCCGAUCCUCCUCUCUUGAUACUACUUCACCGCUAUAUAUUAGUACUCAUCACCCUCUUCAAGGAAUUCCCAUUGGGAGCUACCAGUACCGAAACUGCGUCUGCAUGCAUGUCCCAGACUUUGAACAGAAUAUUCCAUUUAAAAAUCUAAUUCAUAUAAAACAAAUCGAUAUAAAAUUUUCCAUUUCUUAUACCACAGAACUCUACACGUAUAAGUUAAUUCAUCGUUCCAAAGGACAAUACAUAAUAAUUAUAUUUAUUAUUUCUCUACGUGAAUCAUUCUUCCAACUUUACAGAAUAAAUAAAGGCAUUUCCCAAUAACAAACCUACACUAAAACAUUAAUGGUAAUGGAUAAGAAGAUGUCGGCCGCAUGAGUCCGAUUAUGGAGCCAGCACCCUUGCUUCUUGGAUUCGAUUCAAAAGUAAUCUGAACCUUUGGAUUUCCAUAAAAUUUAAGAGUUAAGAGUAAUAUAAUUAUAUUAUUUUAAAUAUUGUUGCAAUCGGCCCCUUUCAUUAUUUGACACAAAUUUGCAGACUCACCCUCAUCUACUUUCAAAAUUUCAUCCUCAGCCCUUCUUUACAAAUCAAGUUUGCUUAGAAACCCCUUCUCCCCUGCCCUAUAAACAAAACGAUCCUUUAGCCCUUUCCUCCGUCCGAUUAAAACAGAGAAAAAGUGCAAGUUUUCUUUUCAACUGCUUUUCUUUCCAGAAAAAGAAAUCAAAUAAUAAUAACUAACCAUAAACCAUGGCUGCAUCUCUCACUCUGUCCUUCUCCGAUCAGAUAGAUCUCCUGGUUAAGCUCCAGGUCUUCAAGCUCCAAGGCCGCGACAAGCGCGGUAACAAAGUCCUCCGCGUUGUCGGCAAGUACUUCCCCGGUAAGAAACUACUUUUAUCUUUCUCCGCCGCCGUAAGUAACUGAAUUCUAGCUAAUGGUUGAAAAUUACUUGAUUAUGAAUUUUUUGUUAAGCAGCUCGGAUGGUGAGCUACGAUGCGGUAAAGAAGCACUUGGAGGAAUCGGUUAUCUCGAAAUUAGGAGAGAAGCCUUUCUCGGUCAUCUACUUUCACGCCGGUGUCCAAAGGGGUGAGAAUUUCCCCGGAAUCUCUGCCCUCCGGAUGCUAUACGACGCCGUUCCAGAGGCUUCGAAGAACAAUCUGCAAGCCGUUUACUUCGUGCAUCCGGGAAUUCAGGCCAGGCUCUUCUUCGCCACCGUCGGCCGCUUCAUUUUCACUGGCGGGUGAGUCAAAUUAAAAUUGAAUAGAAUCCUACAUACCCUGCCCUGACCUGGGUUUUGUGAAAUGGAAAUUGAACGGGGUUUUGUGUGCAGGCUGUACGAGAAGGUGAAGUAUGUGAGCAGGCUGGAGUUCGCGUGGGAAGGAGUGAGGAAAGGGGAGAUAGAGGUGCCGGAGUUCGUGGUAGAACACGACAAGGAGCUGGAGUAUAGGCCGGUGACGACGCUGGAUUACGGGAUGGAGAGCGAUUUCCCGAGGCCGUACAGCGCGGGAGCUAACAUGGAUAAUCCAAUGUCUCUCUACUCUAUGCGUUGUAUUUCCUAAUGAUCCGUCCAUGUAUUGGAAGUUGUCGUAGCAGAAGAAGAAGGAGAAGAAUCGGAGCCCAAAGUACAUAUAAAAAACAGAGGCUUUUUGGUUUUGGUUAUAAUAUAUGCAGAGGAGCUUUCCUUGAAGGCUUGCGGGGCUGUUGUUGUACAUUGCUGGUUGGGUUCUUACUAUUUAGCAUCUUACGUUGGUUGCUGGAAAAAAGGACUGCAGACUUCGUAGGGGAAAGGAAACCAUAACAAACUCAAAUAUCAAACUUGUUGGAGUUGGGCAGUAGCCAGCAGGGUUGGAAUCAAUCAGAGUUGGAAUUCGAUGAAAGGAUGCAUCUUCUUUAUACGCCAUCGCCAAAAUCAUAUCAGAGAACAAGAUAAGUUUCAAAAUAUUAUUAAAGCUUGUAACUCACAUGCCUUAUGCUGCUGGGUCAUUUCUCAUUAUGAGCAAAGGGUUUCAUUCAACCAAACAAAAAACAGUAUCUGUCAAAGAGACAAAUCAAAAGUUGCAGUGGAACAACCUUUUGCAACAACCACGGGCGUCUGUGAGGAGGGGACCCGGCAAGAAUAAACACAAAUGGAAACCCCAAAAACCAGCCUUGCAGCAGUUUCAGAUUGCCAGCUCCAUGAAACAGAUUUUAAUUCUGCUUCCAUGGCUGCAAGCAUCCCCUCCAGCAAACCUAGAAACACAUGAUCACAUGUAGCUACACUCUGACUGUUGAAAUCUGUCACCUAAACAUUAAACAAAUGUGACCUAUCAUUCAUAUAAAACAAAACUAAUUUGAUUAAUUUCAGGUUUACCGAAAACCAGUCAAGUUAGGGUUCUGAUAAAACUUAAUACUGAAAUUGACACUUUUGCCGAGCAAUAGACAGCAGACCAGACCACUCAUUUCUGAUUCGGUUCCAAUAGAAUCCCACUCUUACUAGUAAUUCAUAAGUGAAAAAAACUAACUAGGAAUAGAAGUUCAAAAUCCAAUAGAAAUUAACUCAGAAGUAACUGACAGCUUGAAUAUCUAUUAGAAGACAUGUUUAUGACAGCAAUGGACCCAACACUUACUCAACACUGUUUGCGUCAGCAGCUCCUUCUAGUUUUGCGGCUCCGUUGUCAUUAGCACGGAGAUCAGGAUAGUUUCUAUAGUUUAGAGAAUGCAACCACAAGCCCACAGCUCCUUCCUUGUGUUCCGUGGACGCAAUGUGAGGAUAUAUGUACUUCAUUUUGAACUCAUCUGCCUCUUCUUCAUAUGCCUUCAUUGAAACUUCUUCAUGUGUAGCUUCCCAUUUCUGGUUAUAUGAUGUGAAAAAGCACUCAUCCAAGUAUAGCCCAACCUCAGGAGCUGUUGGCACGGUCAAUCUAACCUGCCUAGCACACAUGACGAAACACUUAUCAAUACAACACAACAUUCCAUAUUCGUAUUUCGUAAUCCAAGCAAGAGAAUAAAAUAUAAACGAGAUUUACUUUUGUAAUGCAGUUUUUAUCAAUGACUCAGGCGCACAGUUCCGCAUGAUUGCGACCGCAACCCCAAUCAUCUUGCGUAUCUGGUGAAGCAUGAAGCUUUGCCCGAUAACCUCACACUUAACAAAAUCAAUUCCAUCAACGGUAACUACGGUGUUUGCAUUGAACGACACGAUGUAUCGCCAAGCUGCAGGGUCUUCAGCCUUGGUUCUAGUUGUGAAGUUAUGGAAGUUGUGACUUCCAACAUAGUAACUCAAUAUUCUAUUGAACCUUUCCUUCUCUUCCUCCCCGUAGCAAAACGGAGCUCCUAAGCUGGCUGUCGUGUCCACUGCUUCAACUUUCUCUUGUUCAACCACGUCAACAGCAUUCACAUCUUUGUCCAGUGUUUCUGUUAGCCCAACAUCACCAGCAUGCCCAUUAUCUACACCGACCAAAGUCUCAUUUUCAGGUUUGGGGUUAGCACCUUCUUCUCCCAAUGGAUUAGCAUUUUCUUCUCCCAAUGGAACAGCUUCAGCAGACAGUAAGGGUUGCUUUGGACUACCUCCAACAGUAACUACAGAUUCUACCACAACACUGACAUCGGUGGUGUUAGAUGAAAUUCCUGACUGAGAGGCUCCAGCUUCUGGAUCAGAAGUACGCUUAUUGCCAACCGCUCCAACUACCUUUCUCCCUCUCUCUGAGCACUCAAAACA